rnacentral:lncRNA from 1 species
UUGUGUUUGAUGUUUGUUUUACUGUUUGUGUUUUGAUGCAAGUCGUACUUUUGGCUUAGGCAACAUGUAAGUGACUACGUCGCCUAUCUUAUCUUAAUGUUAUGUGUUGGGUAUUUCGACAUUUGAUUGUCACUCUGGCACUAUUCCAUCGCUCUUGUGCGCACUUUCCUCUUGUUUCUCUUUCCUUUUGUCUAUUCUAGCAUGUCUGGUAACCCCAACACCGAUAACUCUUGCCAGCAGCCGACGAUUGGUGGGUCUGCUCAAGCUGGGGAUCACCAUAAGCAUCCACAAGGCAAUAUUCCCCCGCCACCGCCUCCACCAAAGAACGGGGCCAUAGCUCAGUUUCUCCUAGUUCUCUGAGAGGAAUGCCAAACCAGGUCUGUCGCUAUGCACCAGAUGGCUCAAGUUAUUGUGAACAACAAGCAGCAAGGUUGGAACAACAAUGGUUGUUCCACUCUGUCGGAGUUCAUGAAGAGUUCGCCCCUGACCUUCCCCGAUAUAGCUGAAGCUUUGGAUGUUGAUGAUUGGAUCCGCACCAUCGAGGACCUCCUAGCAUAUGUCAACUUCAUUGAGGACUGUGAGAGGGUUCUCUAUGCCUCUCAGUUCCUCAAAGGUACCGCGAGAUAUUGGUGGGAUGGAUUCGUGCAAGGCGAUCGUGUGAAAGCACAUACGCUCCCUUGGUGGUUUUGAUAAUUCAUGACCAUAUACAUUGUCUCUUGGACUAACACUUUUACCUACUAUAUUUCAGGUAUAGUCCAUAGAGAGCUAUGCCUAAAGGAUUGUGAGGAGAAACCCCUUGAUGAAGGAAGGAUAGGAUUGUCUCAAGCUUCAAACAAGAAGACUACAUUUUUCAUUUGUGAUAAAUCACUUUGAGUCCAUAGGAAAGCCAAUACUAUUAACAGGGGAUGAGGUAUUAUGAUGAAUUGGUUCCGCAGGUGCUUAGAGAUAGCCAGCAAAAAUACUCAGCCAUUCUCCCACAAAAUAUCUAUGUCCAAACCAAAACGAGGAAAAUCGGUGCCACAAACAUUUCCAACUCGGACCUACCGAUUUUACACUUAGACAGAUCCUAUGCCAAACCCACCAUCUCGGUACAACCAACAUUCCUAUCGGUGCCACCGAGAUUGUGUGACCAACUUUCUAUUGAGAAGAUUUGAAGUUUCAUAAGUUCCGAGUUUGGAAUCGGUCUCACCAAGAUUUGAAAAACAGUCUAGGUCAUCGUAUAGGUACCAGCGAGAUUCAUAUAUCGGUCUCACGGAGAAUUCAAAAGUUUCCACGUUUAGUGCAACUCGGUACCACCGACAUUCAUUUUGGUCUCACCGACUUGGGAAAUAAUGUUGUAAGGUUGGAUUUUGGGGGAUGCCUAUAUAUACCCCUCCACCAACCUCUCAUUCAUAGAGGAAGCACUCAUAACACACAUACACUUGCCAGAUCCAUUUUUCUGAGAGAGGCACCUACUCAUGUGUUGAGAUCAAGAGAUCCCAAUCCACCCAUUUUAAGCUUGAUCUCUAGCCUCCCAAAUUGCUUUCCACAAGAUAAACCUCUCCUACCCCUACCAAAUUUGUGAGAGAGUGAUUGAGUGUUGAGGAAACUAUCUUUUGAAGCACAAGAGCAAGGAGUUCAUCGUUCAUCCACAUCUAUUACCUUUUGGGGGGUGGUGCCUCCUAGAUUGGUUAGGUGUCGCUUGGGAGCUGCCACUUCGUGUUGUGUAGUUGAACCAAGAGGUUUGUCAGGGAAAGGAGAUCGCCUACUUCAUGAAGAUCUACCGUGAGUGAGGCUAGUCCAGAGUGGACGGAAACCGUGGUGGAAUAGACAAGGCCGCUUCUACGUGGACCCCUUGUGGGUGGAGCCCUCCGUGGACUCUCGCAGCCAUUACGCUCUAUGGAUUGAAGUGUCCAUUAACAUGGACGUAUGAUAGCGCCACCUAUCGGAACCAUGCCAAAAAUCAUCGUGUCAACUUCUUCGCAUUUNNNNNNNNNNNNNNNNNNNNNNNNNNNNNNNNNNNNNNNNNNNNNNNNNNNNNNNNNNNNNNNNNNNNNNNNNNNNNNNNNNNNNNNNNNNNNNNNNNNNAUUAUAUACUUAGCUUGUUUUCCUCUAGAACGACAUAAUUAGUCCAUUUAGCUCCAAAAAGAGGAGAAGAGGAGAAGAAAUAGGAAAAAUGAAAAGAAAGAAGAAGAAGAAUAAGAACAAGAGAAGAAAGAGAUGGAGGAGGAGAAGGCCAAGGACCUUCUAGUCCUUUUCCUCCUCCUCCUUCUCCUCCUUCUCCUCCUUCUUCUUGAUUUCUUCUUAUUCUGCUCCUCCUCCUCUUUCUUCUUCUGUUUCAUAUUAUCCUUGCUUUAAUUUCCCCAACAAUGACAUAAUUAGCCCAUUUAGCUCCAAAAUACCAUAAUAAGCUCAAAAUGGCAUAAGAACCUUGGUUAGCUCAUGAAUAUUAUAUACUUAGCUUGUUUUCCUCUAAAAUGNNNNNNNNNNNNNNNNNNNNNNNNNNNNNNNNNNNNNNNNNNNNNNNNNNNNNNNNNNNNNNNNNNNNNNNNNNNNNNNNNNNNNNNNNNNNNNNNNNNNNNNNNNNNNNNNNNNNNNNNNNNNNNNNNNNNNNNNNNNNNNNNNNNNNNNNNNNNNNNNNNNNNNNNNNNNNNNNNNNNNNNNNNNNNNNNNNNNNNNNNNNNNNNNNNNNNNNNNNNNNNNNNNNNNNNNNNNNNNNNNNNNNNNNNNNNNNNNNNNNNNNNNNNNNNNNNNNNNNNNNNNNNNNNNNNNNNNNNNNNNNNNNNAGGAGGAGGAGGAGAAGGCCAAGGACCUUCUAGUCCUUCUCCUCCUCCUCCUUCUCCUCCUCCUUCUUGAUUUCUUCUUCUUCUCCUCCUCCUCCUAUUUCUUCUCCUCUUUCAUAUUAUCCUUGCUUUAAUUUCCCCAUCACUGACAUAAUUAGCCCAUUUAGCUCCAAAAUGCCAUAAUAAGCUCAAAAUGGCAUAAGAACCUUGGUUAGCUCAUGAAUAUUAUAUUCUUAGCUUGUUUUCCGGUAAAAUGACAUAAUUAGCCCAUUUAGCUCCAAAAAGACAUAAUUAGGUAAUUUAGCUCCAACAAGAGGAUAAGAGGAGAAGAAAUAGGAAAAAUAAAAAGAAAUAAUAAGAAGAAGAAGAAGAGAAGAAGGAGGAGGAGGAGGAGGAGGAGAAGGCCAAGGACCUUCUAGUCCUUCUCAUCCUCCUCCUUCUCCUCCUUCUUCUUGAUUUCUUCUUCUUCUCCUCCUCCUCCUAUUUCUUCUCCUCUUUCAUAUUAUCCUUGCUUUAAUUUCCCCAAUAAUGACAUAAUGAACCCAUUUAGCUCCAAAAUGCCAUAAUAAGUUAAAAAUGGCAUAAGAACCUUGGUUAGCUCAUGAAUAUUAUAUUCUUAGCUAGUUUUCCGCUAAAAUGACAUAAUUAGCUCAAAAACAUCAUAUUUUGUUCUUCUUCUGACUUUCUUAUUCACAUUUUUGCAGACUGGAUAUACUACAUGCAUGGAACCUGGCAUUCAUGGACUUGAACAAUGUCGAUGGAUGAACUUUAUAUGUAUAUGAUCUAGUUUUCAUUUGAGUUGAUGAACAAUGUCGAACUAUAUGUAUGUAUGGAUAAAUAGUGCAAUACUUUGUAUGUUGGUUCUUUCGAUAUAUGGGGAUGUACAUUGAUUUAUAUGUAUAUCAGAUAUGUGUGGUGAAUUNNNNNNNNNNNNNNNNNNNNNNNNNNNNNNNNNNNNNNNNNNNNNNNNNNNNNNNNNNNNNNNNNNNNNNNNNNNNNNNNNNNNNNNNNNNNNNNNNNNNAUGCAUCUAGUGUAUUGAGUUCAUGACGAACAGAGUAACGCUUUAAGCAAGAUGACAUGAUGUAGAGGGAUAAUCUCAAACCAAUGAUGAAAACCCCAUCUUUUUACCCUUGAUGGCAACAACACGAUGCGUGCCUCGCUACCCCUUCUGUCACUGGGUGAGGUCACCGCACGGUAUGAACCCAAAACCAAGCACUUCUCCCAUUGCAAGAAUCAUAGAUCUAGUUGGCCAAACAAAACCCACAACUCGAAGAGAAUUACAAGGAUAUGAAAUCAUGCAUAAGAGAGAUCAGAAGAAACUCAAAUAAGAUUCAUAGAUAAUCUGAUCAUAAAUCCACAAUUCAUCGGAUCUCGACAAACACACCGCAAAAGAAGAUUACAUCGGAUAGAUCUCCAUGAAGAUCAUGGAGAACUUUGUAUUGAAGAUCCAAGAGAGAGAAGAAGCCAUCUAGAUACUAGCUAUGGACCUGUAGGUCUAUGGUGAACUACUCACGCAUCAUCGGAGANNNNNNNNNNNNNNNNNNNNNNNNNNNNNNNNNNNNNNNNNNNNNNNNNNNNNNNNNNNNNNNNNNNNNNNNNNNNNNNNNNNNNNNNNNNNNNNNNNNNAUAAGGAAAUCUAUUCUCAAGAAUAGUAGUGGGAGUAUCGUAAAAGACUUGAGCACUACAAAUUGUGUCCACAAUGAAAAAUCAAGGUUUAGCAAAGGGGUUUUCGAAAGUAUGACAAGUUUUAUCAUCCCUUUUCUUCAAAGCAUAAGUAUCCUCACAAUAAUCAUCAUAGAUAGGGGGCAUGCUUUCAUCGAAAUGAUUUUGAUCAUUCAAAGUGGAAGAACUAAAGAGAUCAUCUUCAUCAAAUAUAGCAUACCCAAGCUUGUGGCUUUGCAUAUCAUUAGCAUCAUGGGUAUUCAUAGAAUUCAUGCUAACAACAUUGCAAUCAUACUCAUCAUUCACAUAUUCUAUGCCAAGCAUUCUAUGUAAUUCUUCUUUCAGCACUUGAGCACAAUUUUCCUUCCCAUCAUGCUCACGAAAGACAUUGAAAAGGUGGAGCAUAUGAGGCAUCCUCAAUUCCAUUUUUUUUGUAAUUUUCAGUGAAAGAACAAGAAACAAAAAGAUUCGAUUGAUAGAUCUAAAGAUAUACCUUCAAGCGCUAACCUCCCCGGCAACGGCGCCAGAAAAGAGCUUCGUUGACGGGAUGUUAGUGCCGCUUACCUAGCCUCCCCGGCAACGGCGCCAGAAAAGAGCUUGAUGUCUACUACGCAACCUUCUCCUUGUAGACGUUGUUGGGCCUCCAAGUGCAGAGGGUUGUAGGACAGUAGCAAUUUUCCCUCGAGUGGGUGACCUAAGGUUUAUCAAUCUGUGGGAGGCGUAGGAUGAAGAUGGUCUCUCUCAAGCAACCCUGCAACCAAAUAACAAAGAGUCUCUUGUGUACCCAACACACCUAAUACAAUGGUAAGUUGUAUAGGUGCACUAGUUCGGCGAAGAGAUGCUGAUACAAGUGCAAUAUGGAUGGGAGAUAUAGGUUUUUGUAAUCUGAAAUUACAAAAACAGCAAGGUAACAAGUAGCAAAAGUGAGCACGAACGGUAUUGCAAUGCGUGGAAACAAGGCCUAGGGUUCAUACUUUCACUAGUGAGGUUCUCUCAACAAUGAUAACAUAAUUGGAUCAUAUAACUAGCCCUCAACAUGCAACAAAGAGUCACUCCAAAGUUACUAAUAGGAGGGAACAAACGAAGAGAUUAUUGUCGGGUACUAAACCACCACAAAGUUAUUCUUUCUGAUCGAUCUAUUCAAGAGUCCGUAGUAAAGUAACACAAAGCUAUUCUUUCCGCUCGAUCCAUCAUAGAGUUUGUACUAGAAUAACACCUUAAGAUACAUAUCAACCAAGACCCUAAUGUCACCUAGAUACUCCAUUGUCACCUCAAGUAUCCGUGGGCAUGAUUAUACGAUAUGCAUCACAUAAUCUCAGAAUCAUUUAUCCAAGCAACACACAGAACUUCAAAGAGUGCCCCAAAGUUUCUACCAGAGAGUCAAAACGUGUGCCAACCCCUAUGCAUAGGUUCCCAAUGUCACGAACCCGCAAGUUGAUCACAAAAACAUACAUCGAGUACUCACAUGAAUCAAACGUGUGCCAACCCAUAUGCAUAGGUUCCCAAUGUCACGAACCUGCAAGUUGAUCACCGCAGAUAGACUCGUGCAAGACAUACAUCAAGUGUUCUCAAUGACUCAAUCCAAUAAGAUAACACCAAAGGAGAAACUCAAUUCAUUACAAGAGGGAGAGGGGGAAGAACAUCAUAAGAUCCAACUAUAGUAGCAAAGCCCAUGGUACAUCGAGAUCAAUACAUCUCAAGAACACGAGAGAGAGAGAUCAAACACAUAGCUACUGGUACAUACCCUCAGCCCCGAGGGAGAACUACUCCCUCCUCGUCAUGGAGAUCGCCGGGAUGAUGAAGAUGGCCACCGGAGAUGGAUUCACCCUCCGACAGGGUACCAGAAUGGGCUCCAGAUUGAUUUUUGGUAGCUACAGAGCCUUGCGGCGGCGGAACUCCCGAUCUAGGUUUCUUUCUGGAGGUUUCUGAAUUUAUAGGAAUUUAUUGCGGUGGAAUUGCGUCAGUUGGGCCCACGAGGAGGUCACAAGCCUGCUCGCCACCACCGGGGGGUGGUGGCGGCGUGAGGGCUCCCUCGUGGCCCAUCUGGCCUUCUUCCAAAGCUUCGGGUGUCUCUUUUGGUCCAAAAAAAUCAUCGUAAAGUUUCAUUCCAUUUGGACUCCGUCUAAAAAUGCGCCAAAAACACGGAAAAAACAGAAACUGGCACUUGGCACUGAGUUAAUAGGUUAGUCACAAAAAAGAUAUAAAAUAGCAUAUUCCUGCAUAUAAAACAUCCAAAGUUGACAAGAUAAUAGCAUGGAACCAUCAAAAAUUAUAGAUACGUUGGAGACGUAUCAGUACCCGAUCAAUGCCUUUCCCCUGACGACACUAGACAAAGAGUUCCACUUGAUUGGUACCCAACCCACAUGACGUACGUCUUACGAGCACCAACUCUGGACCGUAUCCUCCAUGCGGUGACCGGUGUGCCCGGAACACGUAAAAACGGCAUAGUCGACCUACCUGGUAUGACCCCGUCACGAGAGUGACCACAUAUCACUCCCUCCACUAGUAAUGUGGCCUCUUUGCUAGCACCGAGCAAAGUAGUUAACAAAGCCAGUCCCAUAAAGGGGUAACGUGGUCGCACAUGUAAGGUUGGGAUAGUCGACACAUCAUAAAUCUAUUCCUGUUUAUGAAACCACUCUUACCCUGUGCACCACUGCUUCACAAGGGGUUACCUAACUCAUCACCACCCUCGGGCAUUAGUGGCACCCAAUGGGCUUUUCAUAAAACCUUUUAUAUCAACUCUGUGUCACCAUCAUCAUGCAUAUGCUUCUACUAUGUGUAGCACUACUGUCUACUUGUCAACAUAUCAACAUCAUGACCCUCAUAGGUGGUAGGAUCAUGCUGAAAUGCAAGUGCUCCGGAGGAGCCAUCGGUAACACCAUGCUGGGUGCACCAAAUAUCCUUAACUAUAUGCAUCGGAAUAAAGUAACCAAUGUGUCAUGCAUAGGAGUAUUUCUUAGACAUGGUCAAAGGGACGCUUGCCUUGAUCAACUAGGUAUCCGGGGUCUUCGCGGUCUUCGAGUCCAGCUCCUUCGUCGAUCGCGGAAUCUAUCGUCAUAAUAAUAGAAAUAAAAUAAGUAGCUCACUCAAAAACACAGCACAAACUCGCUUUAAAAUUUUAUCCUAUUUUGAUAAUUCUACAAUAUAGUUUUAAAAAUAUUUGUCUCUGUUUUUAAUGAAAAGGUUAUUAAAAAUCCAAUUAACACGAGUUAAAAUAUUCAAAAUAAGCCUUUUAAUUAUAACUAUGCAGAAAAGCUUUCAUAAAAAUUAGUAAAACAACUCUAUUAAAUUCUACACAUUUUUAGAUGAAUUGUGGUGGAAAAUAAUUAAACUUGAUUAAAUAAUAAAGUGUGCAAAAUUGUUUUAAAAGAGGAUUAAAAACAAAAAGAAAAGGGGGCUUAGCCGUGGCCUAGCUCGACGAGUGGUUGGGCCGGCCCAACUGGCCAACCGGCUAGUUAGCCAGCUAGCAACCCAGGCACGCGCGCCAUCGGGUUCAAACCUUAUGCACGCCCCGUGCGGUCAGCGACUGAGAGAGGAGAUAGGGGGAGAGAUGGGCCACCAACAGGUGGGGCAUGCCUAUCGGGGUCGUCUUGCUCCUCUGGACGGAGGGAGGGGAGGCACGCCGGCGGCGAUACCAACGCCCUCGUGUCCCAACGACGGCAGGAAUGGAACCACCCAGCGCCGCCUUCCUACUGGUGGUCGAAGGAGCGACGGGGAGGCCCUGGGUCACCGGCAACGAGUAGGGAAAAGUUCGGGGAAGGGAAGAGGAGAAGUUCCCUGAGCUCACUACGUUCACGGAGGAGGUGAGAGGAGCGCGAGAGCUGGCCUGUAGCCCGAGAUCGACGGAGCUCCAAAACAACAGGGCCUCGGUCGAACUCUUGCACUGGAGCUCUUUCUGCUCGAAUGGGGUGGUUGGGGCCUCGAUUGAGGUUUUGGAGGAGAGGUGUGAGAGUGUUGGAGCGAGGGGAGGCCUAUUUAUAGGCCAACAAUGGUGCACCGCAUGGGAGCACUCUGGUGGUUUCACCGUGGCUGCUGGAGAGGGAGAGAUAGCUCGGGGUCGAUACCACGGUUUUGCGGACGUGGUUUGGGACCCAGAGACUCAACGAGAGAGAGAGAGGGGACGUGGUGCGUGUGUGCUGUGUGGCCACGUUCUUCUGGCCGAAUAUGGCGUGCGCGGGCACGCGUCGCCCUGGUCAGCAGAGAGGGGGAUAAGGGCCCCUGAGGCUGUCCUGAGUGAGGAGAUUGGUCAGAGACACGGAGGGGAGGCGAGAACCGGCCGGGCUGGCCUCCUUUUCCUCGGGUGCGCCCUAUGGCGCGCCCAGAGCGCAGUUUUGGCAUGCCACGGCAUGCUGUAGCGCUCUGGGGGUGCUUUGGCUGUGUCUGGCGUGGCUGGGGGAUGGGUUAGAUGCUCCUUAGCCGUUUGAGAGUCGGGGGUCUCAUUGCUGGUCAAAGAAGGUGAUUAAAGAGGAGAUGCGAGUCUUGAGCGAGAAACGAAAAUGGAGAUUUUGGUCUUUCCUGCUUGGAACCAGAGAGGGGCCACUCGUGUGCAGUUGAUGAGUGGUGCUGGCAGCUUGCACUAAGAGUUUAGUGGAAAGGGUGUGGGUGUAGAGGGGGUUAAGUGUUGUUUGACCAAGUUGGCAGAAGGUGUUCGACAAGUAUUUGGGGUAGUUAACCUCCAGAAGUGGUGCUGAGAGUUAACAUGAUUGGUUUAAUGCAAAAAUAGGAUGCUCCACCAAAUUUGAGCCCCAUUGGACAAGUUUGGUAGUGCAAACUUGAAAUCACCGCCAAAUGGGCAGUAUUGUCCUUUCAAAAGGGAGUGUGGGUAAAUUAAUCCCCACAAAUCCAACUUUUGGCAGGUCUCCUCAUUCGGGGUGUUGAGCACUCCUGCAAAGUUUCAGGCCAUUUGGACAAACUUUUCUAUGUAGAGUUGCUACAACUUGAUACUGGACAGAGAGAGUGAACCAAAUCACCUUGAGAUGAGGUGAAACUUGGCAUAAACACCAAAUAUAGCUUGGGAAGCAUGCUGGAAUUUUUUGGGAAUAUAUUGAAAAUACUUCCUUUGGAAAUAAUUCAAACGGUCAAAACAGACAUAAUAGGUUUUCAAGGAUUUGUUCAAAUAUUUUGAACAUAAAUAGGGGUUGAAAAUCUUAUCUAUGGAAAAUAUAUGUCCUCUUAGUAUCUCCAAUUUUUCUCAGAUUUUUGAAAGGCAGAAAAAUAAUUUUCCAUACAGAAAAAUCAUUUCUGGCCUUAGAAAAGGACAUGCAAAUAAAAUAGAAAAACAUUUUAUAAAAUAAUUAUUUUAUGAUUUUGGAGAGUUAUAAUAGUGCUAUGACCAAAAUACAAUCUUUGGGUGAAGGCACUCCCUUGGAAUCAUGGACUUGUAGUGCAAACCCAAAGAAAGAUUUUGAAAUAGUCAAAAAUGAGAAAAAAGGUUUUUAUGGAAUUAUCAUGUUAUAAAAAUAUUGUUUUUGGAUCCACUCAUUCAAGCAUAGACACAAACAAUGGCAAUCAUGGCACUCAUAGCACUUGCUUAAAAAGUUAUAAUAAACUCAGAUUUUUGAAGAGGCUAUAGUUGAAGUAAGGUAAAAACAGGGUGUGACAUCCACCAUCACCUAUUUAUCAAGUUUAAGCUUGUUGGUCCCCAACCAAGCUGGGUCCUAAGAGGUUAGUCACAAUAGUCUUGGCAAGCCAAAUGGUACUUUUCUUGACACCACUUUGAGUACGAAAAAACAUGGCAAACACAUUGCCAACCUUAUCCUUCCCAAGAGAAUAGAUACCAUCAAUAAUUAUAGGGUUGUAGAAGUUACCUCUCGUGCAAGAAGAAGCAAAGUGGCCCGUCUCACGACAUAAGUAGCAACAUCUACCCUUUCCUUUCUUCCAAAUUGAUUUCUCAACUUCGGGAGCAUUGGCUUGGUUCUUCUUGGGAAGAGUCCUUUCUUCAACUUGUUGGACUUGUGGCCGCUUCCCUUGUUGUUUGAGACUUUGGGGCCUCUUCCUUAAUGGGCAAUAUCUAACAUGGUGCCCUUCAAUUUUGCACAUGAAGAAAACAAUCUUGGCGGAAUUCUUGACUAGUUCUUAGCCCUUCUUCUUGAAGCUUUUGGACUUCUUCUUCUUGUUGGAGUUGAAUCCUAGUCCACCUUUGUCAUUUGGGUAUUUUUUCCAACACAAGACAUCGUUGAGUGUGGACAUCCCUUCAUGACUCUUUUCCAAAUCUUUCUUGAAAGAAGUGACUUGGGCCUUGAGCUCUUUGAUUUUCUCUACAUGGUUAGUAUCAACACAAGUACUAGAGGAAGUAUAAGCUUCAUUGUUAGAUCAAUAAGGCAAUGAAAGUAAUUCUUCACAAGAUGUAGAAACAUUAUGAGUAGAUGAAUUACGAGGACUAUCACAUGGCAAUAUAGCAUUGUGACAAGAAGUAGUGCUAAUGUCCACAUGAGGUUCACUUGAUAUUACCUUGGUAGUAAUAGCCUCAUGAGCUAAUUUUAGCACAUUAUGGGAUACUAGAAGAUCAUCAUGAGAGCUUGUGAGCAUUACAUGGCUUUCUUCCAAUUUCUGAUAAUUUCUUCGUAGCAACACAAGUUGUUCCCUUAGCUCAACAUUCUCCUUUAAUAUGGAUGCUUCACAAGAAAUGGAGUUAGUAGCACAAGCAUCAUUAUUGACAACCAGAGGAGAAGGCAACUUGGCAAGCUCUUUUGCAUACGAAGCUUCAAGUUGAGCAUGAUACUCGGUGAGUUUGAUGAGCAAACUCUUAAUAGCCUUUGAGCCACUUUCGAGGUGCUCAUAGUCCUCAAGAAGUUUAUCAUGUGAAACUUCAAGCUUAUAAAUUUUAGUUCUAAAAUCAUUAGCCACCUCAAGAGCUCUAUCAUGGGAUCCCUUUAAUCUAUCUAAUUCUAGAACAAAGGUUUCCUCAAGAGAUUCCAUGGUGGUUUGUUCAUUUUCAAGAGGUUGAGAUAGCUCUGCGAUCUCAUUAGGGUAAUCACGCACAUGACCUUCCAUUGUGUCAAUGGUGGCCUCAUGCUCCUCUAGAUGAGCUUCCAACUCCUCAAUAUAAUUCUUGACCUCAAUGGCAAUAGACAUGAUUUCCAUGAAGUUGGACCAAGAAAUUUUGUUCUUAUGAAGAGCUUAAAAAUAAUUUCCCCCUUAAUUUUGAAGGAAGCAAUAUUAUCACUCUCUUCAUCAUUAUCCUCAUCCUCAUUCCCCCCCCCCCCCCCCAUCAUGAGAUACAUUGGGAUUCAAAGUAGGAGAUACCUUUGAAGCCUUAGCCAUAAGGCAAAAGUGAUAAAAAUAGAUGAUGAUGUAGGAUCCCUUGAGGCAUCAUUCAAGGCCACACCUUGUUCCAUGGAGUGAUGGAUUUCCUCUACAUUGUUAGCACAACAACUCGAGAAAAUAGAUACAUUCUUAUCAUGGCAACAAGAUAUAGAAAAUAUAUCAUCAUGAGGUUCAGUCAAGAAGUUUCUCAAGUUGUUCCUCGAACAGCAAAAACAAACAAAAUGGUGCCCAAACUCAUUGGGACCAAAGAUUUAGAAAACCAGCAAUACAUAGGACAAACUCCACAUACAUAUGUGCAUAUAGAUAUGAAUUUGAAUUUCAUGCACACUUUAGCCAAUUUAUGACAAGGUGGAGUUUCCCCUAUAUAUUGGGUCAAAGAAGGAAAGCAAGCAAAAGAAGUUGUAUAUAGUAGAUAUGCAUGCUCAAGACUCUCAAGAAUCAACUCAACACAAAGUUGAUAAGUCACCAAAAGACAAGGUAUCAAGUGAUAAUAAGAUCUUAAACAAAAAAAGGAACUAUCACUUGAAGGAUAUCAAUUAAAAGAUACCUCAAGGAAUGAGAUAUCCAUUGACACAUGUCAAAUAAAAGGACACAAGAAACCAACUGAAGGAAAACAAACACGAGGUAUCUAAUUUCCAAAAAAAAAAGCUAGGUUCCAACAAACCAAGCCCUCGACAAAUAUUCAUGAUGGCACAAAGCAUCAUAAAGUGCAAGACUUGCCUCCCAUCAACACACACUUGAUGGGGAUCAAAAGAUUUUAUGAUGGGUGAAUAAAGAGAGUGUUCUAAAGAAAAUAGGAUAGCUCCCCCAAGGGACGUGCAUUAUAUAGAAUUUGCAUUUAAAUACAAAAUGCACACGAUGGGAUCAUCACGUUCUCUAUAUCUGUAAAAACACUAGACAUGUUAAAAUAGAUCCAUAAGAGGUAAGGAAGACAAACGAAACACAAAAUCCAAUGUAAAGACGAUUAGCAAUUCCUAUCACAUGAUGGGAAUACCAAUUGUCAAGGACAAGAAGUAUUUUGGAAGUGAUACUCAUUGGUAAAUCGCAAAUAUAUCCAAGAUCAUCUUUACCCAUAAAACGCAAGCAAAUGACACUUGUAGAGCUAACACGACCCUAGGAACAAGAUAAUUUACAAUAUCAACACUAAGUGGCAACAUGAAACCAACAAGAGAUAAUUAAUGGACCAUAUAGAAUUUGAAUUUCUCAUGAGUAAGACAUACCACGUAGAAACUAGAUAAUCUUGAAAUAUCAAAACUAAGUGGUAUUCCCCAUGUAUACACAUUUAUAGGAUUGUGAGGUGUGCAAAGCACAUCACUCCCCCACAAUGGGAUAAUCCAUUAGUCUCUCACAAGAGCCAACAAAAAUAUAAACAAGAUGCAAAAGGCUCAAUACAAGACCCACAUGUACAUCAUAUGCAAACCAACAUACAUAUACUCGAUUACUAAACAUAAGCAAGUUGGAAGCACAACAUAUACAAACGUAUGCAAGGUACAAACCACAACAUGCAAAGGGGCAAGCACCUAACAAUGUAAACAGUUUAAGUACAAGUUACCGUAAGGAGGCACAUUGGAUAUAAGAUAGAAACUCGAUAAUCCAACUGACUUGGCUUGAGAUAAUAUGAAUGAUGAAGACCCCUUAAUUCUUCAUUAUGCAUCCAAGUCUCUAAUCUCCUCCAUAGUCACCUAUUGAUCAAGUUUUAGCUUGUUGGUCCCCAACUACGUUGGGUCCUAAGAGGUUAAUCACAAUAGGCUUGGCAACCCAAAUGGUAUUUUUCUUGACACCAUUUUGAGUAUCGACAAACUUGGCAAACACAUUGCCAACCUUAUCCUUCCCAAGGGAAUAGAUAUCAUCAAUAGUGAUUGGGUUGGAUAAGUUACCACUUGUGCAAGACGAAGCGACGUGACCCUUCUCACGACAUAAGUAGCAACAUCUAUCCUUUGCUUUCUUCCCAGUUGAUUUCUCACCUCGGGGAGUGUUGGCUUGGGUCUUAUUGGGAAGAGGCCUUCCUUCAACUUGUAGCUGAAUAUGUGAUUGAGUUUGUGGCCGCUUCCCUUGUUGCUUGUGACUUUGAGACUUCGUCUUCAGAGGGCAAGAUCUAACAUGGUGCCCUUUAACUUUGCACUUGAAGCAAAUGAUUUUGGCCGAAUUCUUGACUUGUUCUAGGCCCCUCUUGUUCUUGUUUGAGUUUAUUCCAACAUCAUUUUUGUCAUUCGGAGAUGUUUGCUCACACAGGACGUUGUUGAGUGUGGACAUCCCUUCAUGACACUGUUCCAAGUCUUUCUUCAAGGAAGUGACUUGGGCCUUGAGCUCUUCGAUUUCCUCUGCACGGUUAGUAUCAAUGCAAGUACUAGAGGAAGUGUAAGCUUCAAUGUUAGAGCAACAAGGCAAGGAAAGUAACUCAUCACACGAGGUAGCAACAUUAUGAAUAGACGAAUUACGAGGACUAGCACAUGGAAAUAUAGUACUUUGACUAGAAGUAGUACCAUUGUCCACAUGAGGCUCACUUGAUGUUACCUUGGUGAUGAUAGCCUCAUGAGCUAACUUUUGCACAUUAUGGGAUGUUAGAAGAUCGGCAUAAGAGCUUGUGAGCAUUACAUGGUUUUCUUCCAACUUCCCAUAAUUGCUAGUUAGUAAAUCAAGUUGAGCACGUAGCUCAACAUUCUCCUUCAAUGUUGAUACUUCAAAAGAGAUAGGGUUAGAUGUACAAGUAUCAUCAACAAUGUGAGAGGAGUAAGUAGCGAUUAGAGACUUCUCAUGAGUAGAUUGAAGCUCCUCAUAGAUCUUAGAGGUUUUGACGAGCUCUCCCUUGACAUUCUUGCAUUCAAGGAGAAGGACCUCAAAAUCCCUUUUAAGUUUAUCAUGAGUAACUUCAAUCUCUCCUUUUGAAGAUCUUAAGUCUCUACAUGCUUGAUGACUCUUCUCAAGUUCAUGUUCAAGUUGUUCACUUUUAGCUUGUUCAUGAUUAAGUGAGUCAUUACAAUUUUCAAAGUAAGCAAGAACAUCUUGGAACCAUUGAAGAGCGUUAUUUUUAGCUUUAUGAAGAAUUUUACUGAUCACAUACAUAUUUUCAGUCAAGUCAUCAUCAUCAUCCUCAUCGCAAAUAUCAUCGUUAUUGCACAGGGAAGAUGAUACCUCAUUAUUACCUCUUGCCAUGAGGUACAUGUGCACUAGAGGAGUUGAUGAUGAUUCUUUUGGUGAAUCAGAUUCUUCAUUAGUCAAAAGUACUUCAUAUUUAUUGAUUUCCCCUAAAUGAUUAGUCAUAGAACAACUAGGGAGAAACAAGAUAUUUUGAUCAAGAGGACACGGGAGAGCAGGCAUAUCACCAAAGACAUUUGUCGAGGGAUCUUUAGGUGAAAUGCAUGACCUAUCAGCACAAUAAUUUACACUAUGUGUGGUGCUAGAUAUGCUCAUGUCCAUAGAGGCUAUGACAUUUUCAUCAACAUAUAUUUCUUCACUCACCAUGUCAUUACCUUGUGAGAUUGAAGAUGCUGAGGUGUGCAAGCAAUCGGAUAUGGAAGUAGUGGUGGACUCUUUAUGACCGAAAAGAGUGAAGAGCUCAUGCACCAACUCCUUCAUCAUAAUAUCGUCUUCAUCAAGAUUGGACCCACCAUAUAUAUCUUCAAGUUUAUUCCAAACUUCAUGAGCUGACUUGCAAGUCGAGAUAGACUUGAACACUUCAGGACUUAUGGUUCGAUGAAUGGCAAGAAAAGCCUCACAAUCAAGAUACAUUUCAUUAGUAGAUGAAGAUGCAUCAUCCUUUUUGUCGGCAAUCCCUACAAGAACAAUUCGUAAAGUAUUUGGGCCCAUGUCCCGAAAGUGAUGAAGCAUACGGAUUCUCCAUAGGGUAUAAUUUGUGCCAUCAAAGUGAAAGGUGCCAUUGGGCACUAAUCCAAUAGUCGACAUCGAUACUCUCUAGGUCGUGAAACCUAAUUAAAGAGAGACCUAGCUCUGAUACAAUUUGAAAAGACCUCGAUGACGCCUAGAGGGGGGUGAAUAGGCUAUUUAAAAACUUCUUCGGAUUUGGCUUAAACCUAAUGCGGAAAUAAACUAAGAGGAUACUUGUCAAGCACAAAUCAUAAAUGCACUAGGCACUGCAACGUGUAUCAACAACACAAUCUACCAAGAUGGACACAAUAUAGUUACUAACAAGCACAAGUAAGUUACACAAACUUACUUGAGCUAUAUCACACGACAAGUAGGUGAGAGACACAAGAUACUAGAUCACACUAGCACACGAUAUAUCAAAAGUUGCAAGUGUGAACGUGUGGAUAUAGAAGGUAUGCUUGAAUGAUUAAUCUUGUACAAGACAUAGCCAACACAAUAUAAUGAGCACAAACAAUAUGCAAUGUAUGUAUGCUCAAGUAACACAAGUAAACCACAAGUAAGGAGUUAGGGUUAAGGAUAACCAAGGUCACUGAGACGAAGAUGUAUCCCGAUGUUCACUUCCUUGGAGGGAUGCUAGUCACCGUUAGAGAGGUGGAUGUUACCAUGAAGGCACACCAAUGCCACGAAGGCUCACCCUAUUCUCCCUUUGAGAUAACACCAGGACGGCGUUCUCAACCACUAGUGGUAAGCCUUUGAGGUGGCUUCCAAACCCUCACAAACUUUUCCGGGGGGUAAUCACACGGAUUGAUUCCUCUCCGAAGAACUCCUACUACCUAGGAGUCUCCAACCUCCAAGAGUAACAAGAUCACGGGGAAUGCUCAAAACUUGCUCAAAUCUCAAAUAGCUUGGGUUGAGAGAAGGACAGGGAGACGAUCUAUCUUUUGAUUGGAACAACUCUCAAAGGAGCUCACAAAUGCUCUUGGGAUCUAAGACUUGGUGUGAGCAAAUGUGUGUGAGGUAGAAAUGAGUUCUUAUGAGGAUAAGGCUAUGUUGGGGCCCCCUCUCACGAAGUGGGAGGGUGGUAUUUUUAGUGGGGAGAAAAAACAGCUGUUGGGGACACUUUAAGUCACACAUGGGUCGGACAUCCGGCUGUUCACGGAUGUCCGGGCGUCCACAAGGGGUCGGACGUCCGACAGGGGUCGGACGUCCGAGGGCUGUAAAUAUAUCUAGAACCACUGUGGAGUUGAACAGGGACCGGACGUCCGGAGAAGGCCGGAAGUCCGAUUUAUUCGACUCAAUCUUCUCUGGUGCAAGAUUCUCUGGUGCAAAGCUCCGGAUUUCCAAAGCUGGUCGGACGUUUGGCCCUCGGACGUCCGGAGGGAGCCGGAAGUCCGAGUUAUAUGGCUCAAGUUUCUCUGGUGCAAAGCUCUGGAUUUCCGAAGGUGGUCGGACGUUCGGCCCUCGGACGUCCGGAGGGAGUUGGAAGUCCGAGUUAUAUGGCCCAAGUUUCUCUCGUGCAAAGCUCCGGAUUUCCGAAGCUGGUCGGACGUCCGGAGGGAGCCGGAAGUCCGGGUUAUAUGGCUCAAGUUUCUCUCAUGCAUAGUUCCGGAUUUCCGAAGCUGGUCGGACGUCCGGGCCUCGGACGUACGGAGGAGGCCGGAUGUGCGGGCCUCGGACGCCCGGAGGAGGCCGGAUGUCCGGGCCUCGGACGUCCGGAGGAGGCCGGAUGUCCAAGGCAGUGGUCCUAUUUUCUGAUAACAGCAGAGCAGUGCAGAUGUGGUAAGAGCAGAAUAGUAGAUAUCUAGUUUGUGCAAGUUCAUCACAAAACCUAUAAUCCCCUCUUAAUAGUGCGGGAUCCCUAAAGACUCAAGAAUUAUAAAAGGGGUACCGAUGAUCCAUACAUGAGUGUAUACUUUUAUUCGCUGAUCAUCACUCCACACCACUAAGGUCAAAGGAACUGAUACCUUUGAGUUAGCCCUCUCACUUGAGCUUGAUGUUGUUGUUCCUUCUUGGCUCAAGUUGAAAGCAAGACAUGAUGAAGUCUUCAAGCAGCUCUCCCAUACACAAUGUGGAAAGCCUAGCUUAUGUAUUCAUCUUCAUUUGUCCACCAUGUGAACAUCCACAAGAAUCAAGCAUGUAGUGCUCAGGAAUGCUUAUCUUGAUCCUAUCCUUGUUAGCACAUGAGCUUGUCCUUAUCAACACAUGAUCAUUAACAAUAGUUUCAAUGAUAUAUUCGUGCUGAUCCACUUGAACUUGCACACCACAAUCUUGAUGACGAUCACCACUUGACGUCAUCCUUCAUGGGUUGUUUGAGAUCUUCCUUUUGGCGCAAGCCCAUGGAAGCACACCUGACCCCCACAUAGGACUCUCACAAAGACCGUGGGUUAGUACACAAACACGUAAUGGACAAUGCUUACCAUACCAUGGGAUCACUUGAUACCUCUCGGUACAUCUUAUACGCUUUGUGUGUUUAUCAUCUUGAUUUACUCUUUGUCUGAGAUCUUGUUCAACCUAGUGUCUCUAUGACCAUUCUUUGGAUAAUACCUUGAAUACCAUCUUGGUCAUCAUAUAAACUCCUUGAACCCAACAGAUGGACUUCAAGAAGUGCCUAUGGACAAAUCCUAUAAAUAUAACUUAAGGCAACCAUUAGCCCAUAGGAAUUUUCAUCAAUUACCAAAACCACAUAUGGACAUAUAUGCUCUAACACCAAGCCUCGUGAGGAAGUGCGUCGUCAAGACCCGCAGGGGGUCCUCCUCAGGACAAUUCCGGAGCGGCAGAUACUUCAAGGCAAGGUCGGGCCUCAUGAGCCAAGGAUGACGCCGUGGAAGGAGAGGCGAUCAAAAGAUGGCAGGACACGACAGUUCCCCCUUUAGUGCAAAGAAGGUGGGACCGUUUAUCGGUUUGGGUAUCAACGAACUCCAAAUUUGAUGAAAUUUGGUAGGCGGUCUACCUACAAUAAAACAAGACCACACGCCAACUUCCGACCCGUUCCAAGAAAGUUUUAUAUGCACUUUUAAAAACAAUUAAUUUAAUGAUGUCGCGGGUGAGUUCGUUUGGUCUCGAAAUGGUUGACGGAGACAACAUCAAGAAGAGGCCACUACAAACGAUUGCAAGUUUUCCAAAAUGACGGCAACUGAGUGACGAUACAAUGCGAAUGAUGUGAAUGAUGCAAUGAUGAAUGCAACAAAUGAAUAAAACACUUAGCAAAACUUUGAAUAACUGGAAGGAAUAUGAAACAUGCAUCAUAUUUGAGUGUGCAUCACGUCAUGAAUGUGUUGUGGUGUUUAUUGUGUGUUGAUUUUUGUUUCCAAAUUGCUUCUUCUCGGUAGAGUUCCGCAAGCAUGUCAGAGGGUGUGGAUUCGUUCGACUACGUUGGUUCUUCUGCAUCACGGAUUCGUUCUUCUUCCAAGUGGGAUCACAGGCAAGAUGAUCAUUUCCCUUGAUACCAUUACUAUCAUUGCCAUGCUAGUUGUAUCGUUUCUUUCGCUAUGAAAAUCCUACCACUUAAAUGUCAGCCUCCCAACAUUGCCAUGAAAAGCCUCUAACCCUUCCACAUCCCAGCUAACCACUGUUUGGUUAUGUUACCGCUUGUUCAGCCUUCUUAUAACAUUGCUAGUUGCACGUGCAGUUGCUUCCAUGUGAAAACAUGGGUUCCUUGUUAUAUCACCAUAUUAUCGCUAUUUAAUUUAAUGCACCUAUAUAAUUGGUAAAAGUUGGAAGGCUUGGCCUUCUAGCUCGGUGUUUUGUUCCACCAUUGCCACCCUAGUUACUUGUGCACCGGUGUUAUGUUACAUAAUUGAGCGCUCCUAACAUUCUUGGGGUUUUUAUGGGGACCCCCUUGACUUUUGUUUUGGGAUAAAACUCUUAUGGCAAGGCCCAACAUUAGUACUAAAUUUUCCAAAUAACGUAAUAAAAUUUCAAAGGGACUUUCCGAACCCCGUGGAUAAUUAAUCAACCCCCGGGGCCAGUGCUCCUCAUGAGUGUUGGUCCAAACUAGAGCAUCACGGGGGGCCAACCCAGGGCAACUUUGGAGAUGUUUAUCAUGCCAUUGUACGCUUCGCUUAUCCGUCGUGUCCCGAGAACGGGAUACGCGACUCCUAACAGGAUCAUCAACACACCGGGCGGUCUUACUGGAUUUGUUUUACCUUUCUCGAACGUCUUGUGCGAGGGAUUCCGGGGAUAAUUUGGGCUAUCUAGAGGUUGAGGUUUUCCACCAGGAAUCCGAGGAGAUCCCAGGUUUUGCAUAGUCGAGGUUUCCGAUGAAGCUUGUGGUAGUUUGUGAUGGACUAGUUGGAGCACCCCUGUAGGGUUAAAUAAUUCUGAGAGCCGUGCCCGUGGUUAUGUGUCAACUUGGAAACUUCGUUUAACAACCGGUCAUAACAAACUUUAAGUAAACUUAAUUAAAACUUGCCAACUAUGUCCGUACCCAUGAAUGUCUCUUCUCGUGAGUUCUGUAUCUGGAAGAGGACAUGAUGGGGUUAUGUAUGAUGUAAGUAGGUGUUCAGGACCAUCCAUUUGAUCAUUAUUAGUUGACUUCCAUUAUGCGUAGAUCACCCCCUCUUAUUCUUGUACUCAUAAGUUAGCCACCCGAAUAAAAUGCUUAGUUGAUUGCUGCAGAGUCAUCAGUUAACCAUACCUCACCCAUUAAGCUUUGCUAGCCUUGAUACCUUUGGAAAUGAGAUUGUUGAUUCCAUGUUGCUCACAGGUUACUACAACAACAGUUGCAGGUAUAGGUGAAGUGAUAUUUUUACGUGAGCACCAUGAUUGUUCCAUUUGGAGUUUCCUCUUAUUCUCCUUUGUCGAGCAUAGGAUGGGUUCCAGGCCGGCAGCCUGGGAUAGCAAGGAUGACGUCGUUCUUUUAUUAUUUUAUUUCGUCCGUAGUCGGACUCUGCGCUUUGCAAGCCAAUUCCAUAUACUCAUAUCUUUUGUACAUGUUGUUGUAAUGAUAUACAUUCUUGUGAAACAACGAGAUGCACUUUUAUCCCUGUCGAGGCCCUCGCACCAAAAUAAGGAUAGUGGCGCAUCUUGGGCGUUACAGUUUAUUAUGACAAACUAAUCAUCGAAGAAAGGAAAGACACAAAUUAUGCAAGACGCUCCAAGCAAAACUCAUGAUAUGUGACGAAUAAAAAUAUAGCUCCAAGUAAAAUUACCGAUGGUUGUUAGAACAAAGAGGGGAUGCCUUCUGGGGCAUCCCCAAGCUUAGUUGCUUGGUACUCUUUGGAUAUUUCCUUGGGGUGCCAUGCGGCAUCGCCAAGCUUAGGCUUUUAUCUCUCCUAGUUCCUUCAUCCAUCGUGAUCUCACCCAAAACUUGAAAACUUCAAUCUCACAAAACUCAACANNNNNNNNNNAUCCGUUAGUAUAAGAAAACCAAACUUUACUUUAGGUACUAUUGAAAACCUAUUCCAACUUUGUUUUUACAUUAUACCUGAUGCAUUCUAACUUUACCAUGGAUUGUACCCCCCGAUACAAACCAUACAAUCAUCAAAACCAGCACAUAACGCACAGAAAAAAUAAUCUACCCAAAACAGAACAGUGUGUAAAGGCUUGAAUUUUACUCAUACUUUCGUAACUCCAUAUAUUCUAAAAAAUUAGGAAAAUGCAGGGAAUUUGUAUACCAAACCUGUGUAAGAAAUUCAGACACUUCUGACAUCCGUGUCAUUUUUUGGAUUUUUUCUAAUGGACGUAGAAGUUUCUAUAUUUCAAUAGGAUUAAAGUAACUAAUUCCCCACAUGAUCCCAAUUAUAAUACUAGCAUAAUUGUGCAAACACUGAAGAGCACAAAGCGAAAGUGAAAAACAUAUUUUAUUUGUUGGGUUACCUCCCAACAAGCUCUUUCUUUAUAUCCAUUAUGAUAGGCUUGAAAUUUUAUUGAUGCUCACGAGAAAGAUAGUAGUUCAAACACGAAGAGAGCAUCAUGUAGCAUAAGAUAAACACAUUUAAGUCUAACAUACUUCCUAUGCAUAGGCAUCUCAUAAGCAAACAAAUUAUCAAGACAAGAAAUACCUAACAUAUGGAUGGAAGAAAAAGAAUCAAUAGCAAUAUCAACAUGGAGAGAAAUAAUUGUGCUUAUAAUAUGCAAAACUACAAGAUUGGGGAUGGCAAUUUUUUCAUGUCCACUACUCAUUGUGAUGAUCAUGAUUGGGGUGAUGCUUCUUAAUUCUUGAAAAUUUAUUUAAUCCUCAUGAUGAAUAUGAUAUUGAUAAUAAUGUUUAUAAUAGUAUUGAAAGUGGGUUUGGAAGUGUGUCAACUUCACGUAAUAAUGAUCCCACUAUUUCGGAGAAUUAUCUAUCUCGUGAUUUUCCCCCCGAUAAAAGUUGGUUUGUAGAGGUCAUGAUGUUAGUUAAUGUUAAUCCCACUACCUUGCAAGAUUAUAAGACUUUUAUGCAUGUGGAUCAGGAACAGAAUAUUUUAUGUGAUAGGUAUAUUGUUGAAUUUGAAUAUGAUCCUAAAUGUAAUUAUUAUGAGAGAGGGAAAUUUGGUUAUAUUAAUAUUAAUGUAGAAUUUAUAAUAAAAUUAUCGCAAUCAUACUUUUUGUUCAAGGAGAUAUCAUGAAUGACGUUAUGAAUUUCUUCUUUUAACACUUCAUCACAAUAUUCAGAUUCACGAUUUUCAAGAAAAACUUCACAAAAGCAAUCAAGAGCACUUGAGUCACUACAAAUUGGUUCAACAUAAUUAGAUCUUCUCAAAAGAUUAGCAAGUGGAUGAGGCUCCAUAUGUGUUUACUUCCUGUUUAUUUUUCUGUUUUCGAGUGUUGUCAUGAAGGCAAUAAAAGCAAGCAAGCAAGAAAAUGGCAAAUGUAAAGAAGGCAAAUAAAAGGGCAAAUGUUUGUGAAGUGGGGGAGAGGAAAAAGAGAGGCAAAUGGAAAAUAAUGUAAUUGCAAGGAGAUGAGAGUUUGUGUAUAAGAACUUGAUAGAUCUUGACAUAAUAUUCCCAGGUAACGAUGCCAGAGAUCUUGACUCCUCGUUGAUUGUGUUGGUUUCCCUCCAAGCUUAAAGGAUGAUGUAGCACAUCGAUGAAAAGUAUUUCCCUGAGUUAUGAAACCAAUGUCAAUCCGGUAGGAAGAUCCACAAGACUAUGUAAGCAGUACCUACACACAAACAGCAAAUCCUCACAACCCAACGUGUCGAGGGGUUGUCAAUCCCUCGUGGGUAAAGUAACGAUAGAUUGAUAGAUGCAAAUAAGACUCAUAACGAAUAGAAUGUACAAAGGUAUUUUUGGGUUUUUUGAUGAUAUAGAUCUGAAAUUAAAAGAGUAAAUAAAAUAGAAAGGCAAUAACAAAGUAGAGAAUGCAAAUAGAUGAUAUGAAGUAAACCCGAGGGCCGUCGAUUUCACUUGUGGCUUCUUUUGAGAAAAUAGCAAACAGUGGGUAGACAAAUUACUGUUGGACAAUAGAUAGAAGAGCAAAUAGUUAUGAAUAUAUUCAAGAACAUGAUCAUGUAUAUAGACAUAACAUCUAAGACAAGUAGACCAACGUCUGCCUCCAUCUACUUAUAUUAUUCCGCACAUCGACCGCUAUCCAGAAUGCAUCUAGUGUAUUGAGUUCAUGGAGAAAUGGAGUAAUGCCUUAAGAACGAUCAUAUGAUGUAGACAAGGUCUAUUAAUGUAGGAAUAUAUUUUACCCUUGAUAGCAAUGAUACACGCGUGUCAUGUCUCUUUUUGUCAUCGAGAUUGAGCACCGCAAGAUCGAACCCAUCACAAAGCACAUCUUCCCAUUGCAAAAUAAAAGAUAAAGUUGGCCAGGAAAAAACAAAUAUCGUAGAAGAAAUACGAGACUAUGAUAAUCAAGCAUGAAUAUGUUUUCAUAGUUCUGAUCCUAAACUCACAAUUCAUCGAAUCCCAACAAACACACCGUAAGAGAAAGAGUUACAUCAUAUGGAUCUCCAAGAGACCAUUGUAUUGAGAAACAAAAUGAGAGAGAAAGUCAUCUAGAUACUGCCUACAGACCUGUAGGUCUGAUAUGAACUACUCAUGCAUCAUAAGAGGAUCACCAAUGGGGAUGGUGAACCCCUCCGUGAUCGUGUUCCUCUACGGAACGAGCUCUAGAUUGGAUUUCAUGGCUUUUGGUACUUGCGGCGACUCAAACGAUUUUUGUCGACUCCACUAGGGUUUUCUAAAUAUCGGGGUAUUUAUAGAGCACAAAGGUGGUGGAGGAGGUGCUCGAGGGCCCCACUAGAUACUAGGCGCGCCCUGGUGUCUAGUAGCCCCCCUAGGCCUCGUGUGCUGCUCAUUCUUGGCUCCCAAGUUUCCUUGAGGUCCAAAAAAAUGAUCCAUAAAGUUUUGUGGAAUUUGGACUUCAUCUAAUAUUGAUUUUUUGCAAAAGAAAAUACAGCAAAAAAUAGCAACUAAUGCUAGGCACAAUGUUAAUGAAUACGUAGGUGACGUAGGUGACGUAUCAGGCACUACUAAGCCUUUUUGAACGAAUAAAAUAUUGAAUGAAUGAAGAGACAUUAAUUGAGAAGAAUUUCAGAGUGAAAGCUGAAAGCUGAGAACAAAGGAAUAUUCUGAAACGAUGGUGUCCGGAGGACCGAGAAACGAAAACAACUCUGAAAUGCUAUUGAUAGAUAUGGAAGCAAUUAGCCAUGAUCGAAAACAAUUUGGGAGGAUAGCAUGAAUCUUUAACCAUGAAUCUUCAUGAGAAUGGACAAAGGUUUAAGAGAAACGCUCCUUCGAUCUCAGAUGUUGAGAACGAUUACGAGAAACACAACCGAGAAUUACUAAGACACUCUAGAAUAAUGAAGAAAGAAAGGUUGGGUCAAUGAUGAAAUAAUCCGAAGCGAUCUCGGAAAAGGAGUAUGACUGAUGGAAUACAUUCAUAUGUCACAUUUCAAAUGAACUUUGAGAAGGAAUCUCCCAAAAAGAUUAAAAGAUCCAUGCAAGAUAAUUGGAAAGACAUGUGGGUUAUGGGCCUUCUCAAAAGAAAACACCAUUGGAACAAUUGCUCGUAAUGGGAAAUUGCACUGGUACAAUUAAGAACUUAAUGAGGUCAAAUCCUGGAAAUAAUUUGGAAGGAUUUUGAAUGAAAACACAAAAAUUCUAUGAUAUCAUUAGCACUCCAGAUAGAAUAGAGAGGGGUGAAUAAACAAGAGAGGCUUGGAUAAGAAUUUCCAACAUGGGAAAGCAUUUAGCAAAUGAAAAGUAUUUGAUGAACACCGAGAGGUUGUAUUGAAUCUAGAGGGGAAGAAAACAGGAAAGAAGAAUGGCGAACUUAGCACUUGAGCAUCUUCACAAUAAAUCGCCAGAUACAAUAUGGAAGAGAAGAUUGAGGAAGCAUUAAUUAAAAGAAAGGCAAUAGGAUGAUAAUUUUACCAUUGAAUAAAAGGGCGGGAUGGUGGGGAAAACAAAGAAAACUUGGGACAGAUGAAACAAUCUUCAGAAAGGAAUAAGAGGAUUGGUCUUGCAAAUAUUGGAGAUGAUUUAAUUAACUUGAAGAGAAGCACUCCAGUUGAAAAAGAUUUGACGUGAGAGUUGAUUGACAAAAAUAAUUAAUACUCACAUAGGAAUAAGAGAACACUACCUAUGACACAUAUGAGAUCAACACUUGCAAUCAAAGCAACCGGAAUUACCAUAUUCCAACUAAACAACGGACGAGACAUACAGAUUAAGCAAAAAACAAAUACAUUACCCAUUAUGCAUUUAUUGGAAGGAUAACCAUAGAUAAAUACUUGAAUUCCCACCCGAGGAAGCCCGAAAUCCUCCAGUUUUGUAGUCAGAUCCACGAAUGCAAGGAGCAAAACCUUACACAACUCCUAACAUGAUACUACGGUCCAAUGUAUCACAUCCGUCAACACAUAACUAGAAGUCUUGGAAACUUACCUACCUUACACCAUCGUAAUCACAAUGAUACCAAUUAUGGCACUACAUUUGGACGCUCUCCCUAGUAGUGGGUGAUGCAAGCUCCUCUUCCCACAAAGAGUAUUGAAGCAAUUACGAACAUCAUCAUCCUGAUAUACUAAGGAAACUCCAUGACAACAAUGUGUCGAGAAUCCCUUGGAGCUCUACUCCGCGUGACAAAGUCAAUUCAGGCAGGAGGCACCAAGUACAGAUUUUCUUCACAUCAACAUCAUAGAGGAUCCGAAAUACCCGUGUGGUCCUAAAAAUUUGAGAGAGAGGAGGGGUAGAAUUGAAAUUCCUACCUCAGGACUGCUCACGAGAGCAUAGAAGAGGAGUAAAAAGAAUCAUGUUCUCUGAUAUAUAACUAGACUCAAAAUAUUUUUUUCUAUACUCGACUCAGCCAAGUUAUGUCAAUCAAGGGGCUCGUAGGUCGGUACAGAUCUGAUACCAACUUGUAACACCCAAGAUGCGGUCCUAUCCUUAUUUUGGAUCGAGGGCAAUAAUAGUUAUAGAAGCUGUCAGAUUCGAUGUUCCGGUGACCCAAGGAGGUUCGAACUCUGGGGGGCACAAGCUCUACGGGCCUACUGUGCAGCGCUAUCCUAGCGGGACACAUCGGCGUGUUCUUGCUAGGGUGGAGGGAUGAUGGACGACCGAAAUUACCCAGGGUCGGGCCACCUCUCGGUGUUAGACCCUACUCAUAAUUUCUUGAUUAGGUGGUGCCAAAGGGAUUACAAGAGUUCUCCCCCUAUGAUGGGGGUAUGUCCCCCCUUAUAUUGGCCUUGGUCCUCUCACCCCCUAAAAACAAACCAACGGGAAGGGUUGCCACAACGGCCAGUCUGAAGGGGGACAGGAUCUUAGGCUAUCCAAGCAAAAGUUGCCGUCGCCUGCAAAAGCUUCCUCCAUGACGCAUUGGUGGGCUUGGGGAUGACCUCCUGCCUUAACAAUCCUCCCGUCCUGGUCUUCUUGCACCAAAGAGGAAAAUAUUUAGGGAUUGCUUUGGGAACCUGUGGUGGCCCUGUUCGCUUAGCACUAAUAGGGAAAGCCUCCUCAUCUGUACCCGCUUGUACGCCUCCUGGCAUGGCAAGCGUCACCCUUGUGACAUCGUAGAGCCGUCUAACCCAUCGGGUCACCUUUGACUGGUUUGUCCUACAAGGGUGUGGAGGACAGCCCUAGGAGGCCCACUUGCGAGGCAGGGCUAGAUGCAACGCUCGACAUCGCACACAGGAUCCAACCUAGCGAGGUGGGGGCCCUCGUGUCGGCCUCAAUCACGAGGCCUGGAGAUGGAUCAUGUUUGGUCCCCGACAUGAGUUGCGUCAGGACCUGCACACAGACGAGCCUAGAUACCCCUGGUCCAGCGGGCCCGGCAAUAGCCCAAUGGCCCGCGGUGUGCACGACCUCGCUGGUGGUCGGUGCGAAACAGCAUGGGCCCCAACCGUGUCUGAGCCGAGCAUGAUGCGUGGAGCACGAUGGACUGUGGGAUGCCCCCACUUCCCCAUGACAUCUUGGUAAUUUCCUAGGCUAACGCAAAUCCUACCUGUGACAUAGGACCAUAAUUGUUCUUCCUUGCCCUGCGUGCGCCUAGCGUACAUGAGGGGGCGCGGGUCGGUGUCCUGCCCAUUGUUAUAAAAAACAAGCUAGGGUCCCCUGGACUCAUCUUCCUUUCUCUCGUAUCUCCUUCUUUCUCAUUGCUGCUUUGACGAUGGCACCCAUGAGGAGGUUUUCCGCCGUCGAGAAAGGAAAGGUAGCGAUAGAGUAGGUGGAAGCGCCACGACUGGCGAGGGGGCGGGGCACCCCCCGCAUGUUCACUACCAUGCCUGGAAUGCCUCCCCACGGGCGUGGGCGUGUUUCACCACCAUACCGUGCCAGCCUGAUCAUUUGAGGAGGAGGCUCGGUCCGUGGACGCGGGCAUAGGGGGCGAGACGGCAGCGAGCAGGGUGCAAGGAAAAGCACGCCUCCCCGGCCACCACAUGUCGGGACCCCGAUCCGAAGCCAUAGGAAUCUAGCCUGUGACCCAUCGCAUCCCUUUGUGGUCUCACGCACGGUUAACUCCACGGCUGCAGCCUUACCUUAGCCGGGACCGUUUGCGUCUUUUGACUCACGUAUGCGAUCGUGUCGCUAGCAUUCCAAUGUCAAAGAACCCGGAUCGACAUGUCUAGUCAUAAACCAAAGUGGCAGUUCCGUACAAGGACAGGCAUACAUGACCCAACAAAGCAGGUGUCGGUCAUCAACGAACGUAGACGAGUCGUAGCAAGCUACAAGGACUCCAUUACGUCGUGUGACAUUUCCCCAAAGGGGACAAACAGAGCAGCUAAGAAGGACACAUGCCGGUCAACCAAUGCAUCCGGAGCAGUAGCGAACUACCAAGGCUCGUUGGAUCACAAAGGGGCAUUUCCUUGUAAGGGGUGCUACUAAAGUUCACGACUAGGUAAUCGAACCCCAUACAUAUCAAGUAAGACACACGUACGCAUAGCAUACCGAUAUGUAUAGAUACAUCGAUGGCAUCACAACAUAACCAUAGACAUACAAGCUUUAUUGAAGAGGCUCGGAAGAGCCUCACACAUAUUAUUACACAUUAAGGGUCUCACGACCCAUAAUAUCAGUCACACAAUACAAGCCAGCGGAAGAGUUAUAAGCUGUCUGGGUACAGACAGAGCAACUAGAAGGCACAUGGCCUGACUAUACUACAGAACCGACGUAGGGCCAGGUCGUAGCUGGGACACCAGCGACUCGUCGUCGUCGAUGUCUACGAAGAACCCUCCAUUAGGGUCGUUAGCAACCUCUCCAACAUUUAUUAAACAAACAUGAGUACGAAGGUACUCAGCAAGACUUUAGGAUGGCUAACUACUCAUGCAAGGUAUCAAGAAGGUAUUGUGGGGUUUCAUGCGGAAAGCCAGCAUUUGACUCGUGGCUAGACAACUUGCUUUUUGAAAUUAGUUUUGACAACUUGAUUUCUCGCACACGAGUCCACUAACACCACAACAAUACACUAUCGUGGAAUCAUUCCGUCUCCAUACAGAAAUGCCGUCCACGACACUCACGCUUAUCUUGACAAUUUUAGGAGUAGCCAUUUAAGUUAUCUAUGAACAACAUAUGUCUCCAAGUAGUCCAUAUCCGCGGACGCGGCUAUCCGAAUAGAUCAUAACCCUGCAGGGGUGUACUUCGUCACACACGCUCCCGCCACUUAUCGCCAUGUGCACGUCAUGCACCUCGGCAACCUUCAAGCGGAAGCCCAGCGAGGGAGUCGGCCACGACCGUUAACCACACUAGUACCUAGUCCAGGUUUAUCGCCUAUCUGAGAGUAACCCGUACGGAAGUCCGGCCGAGGUUUCCGCCACGGCCUCAAACGAUGGGCGCAGGGUUCCCAAGCCCACCAUCCGGGUGCCACUUGGUACACCGUUCCACUGCCUACCGCAUCACGGUCCACCUCUCAGGUCAGCACCAUGCACGGCCUCCAGCAUUACUAUAAACACCAGAAACUACUUGCAACUCCUGGACCGAGUACUAAGUGAUUAAUAGGCCGAGCGGGGUCAUAUUUCAGGGCCCAGCAUGUGGUAGUAUCUAGUCUUGGAUUACAUACACGGAACUCAGUUCCUAAGGACGGUUCCAAUGAAACAACCCUCCAUGUACUCCUACACNCAAGUAGUCCAUAUCCGCGGACGCGGCUAUCCGAAUAGAUCAUAACCCUGCAGGGGUGUACUUCGUCACACACGCUCCCGCCACUUAUCGCCAUGUGCACGUCAUGCACCUCGGCAACCUUCAAGCGGAAGCCCAGCGAGGGAGUCGGCCACGACCGUUAACCACACUAGUACCUAGUCCAGGUUUAUCGCCUAUCUGAGAGUAACCCGUACGGAAGUCCGGCCGAGGUUUCCGCCACGGCCUCAAACGAUGCGCGCAGGGUUCCCAAGCCCACCAUCCGGGUGCCACUUGGUACACCGUGCCACUGCCUACCGCAUCACGGUCCACCUCUCAGGUCAGCACCAUGCACGGCCUCCAGCAUUACUAUAAACACCAGAAACUACUUGCAACUCCUGGACCGAGUACUAAGUGAUUAAUAGGCCGAGCGGGGUCAUAUUUCAGGGCCCAGCAUGUGGUAGUAUCUAGUCUUGGAUUACAUACACGGAACUCAGUUCCUAAGGACGGUUCCAAUGAAACAACCCUCCAUGUACUCCUACACAGCCUUUCACCGAUACCUUUACCAAAUCAAGUUCAACACACGACCUUUGUUCACCGAACACAUUCCACAUUUCUGUUCAUCUCCCAGAUGACAGACCAUACACAACUCUAAGCAUAGCAUGCAUAGCAGGAUAAGGCACAUCAUAGCUCAAGCAACUACCAGGUAUGCUAGGUUGCAAGGUUCGGCUAUUUACUGUGACAAGGUUAAGUCAUGCGAAGGAAGUGGGUCCAACUAUCGUGGCAAAAGCAGUUGAAGCAUUUGAUCCUAAUGCAAUGAAUAGGUGCAGGAGCAAGAAUAUAGGAGUUAUCGGGAUGAUCAAAAGGGUUGCUUGCCUUGUUGCUCAGAGGAGGAACGAUAUCCGUCAGACGGAUAUUCGGUGGAAUCCGGGGGUGCGGAGCCUACCGAAAUGAACGGCAACAUUCAAUAACAAUCAUAUGCAAUCAAAAUGAUGCAUGAGCAAGGCAUGAGAAUGCAAGUGAUAAGUUAUUAUAAUCAAGAUGUUUUAGGUUUAGAGUUGAUUUGAAUCACAUUUNCUCAAGCAACUACCAGGUAUGCUAGGUUGCAAGGUUCGGCUAUUUACUGUGACAAGGUUAAGUCAUGCGAAGGAAGUGGGUCCAACUAUCGUGGCAAAAGCAGUUGAAGCAUUUGAUCCUAAUGCAAUGAAUAGGUGCAGGAGCAAGAAAAUAGGAGUUAUCGGGAUGAUCAAAAGGGUUGCUUGCCUUGUUGCUCACAGGAGGAACGAUAUCCGUCAGACGGAUAUUCGGUGGAAUCCGGGGGUGCGGAGCCUACCGAAAUGAACGGCAACAUUCAAUAACAAUCAUAUGCAAUCAAAAUGAUGCAUGAGCAAGGCAUGAGAAUGCAAGUGAUAAGUUAUUAUAAUCAAGAUGUUUUAGGUUUAGAGUUGAUUUGAAUCACAUUUGAAUAGUAAUUCAAACGGGUAUUCCCGAACACCGGUUUAAUUGAUUCGACCCGAUGCUCAGAUCAACCUAAUGUUAACAUGCAUGAGAUGUCAUGUUAUGGUACUGAUUUACAUCUAGGGCAGUGUAUGAUCAUUGCAUUUAUAAAGAAAUUUGGAUAUUUUUGCAAAUUCCAUUUAUAAAGUGAUUAAAAGAAUUGAAUUAUUCCUUAUUUCACAAUUUAGGGUUCUGUAACUUUUUCAAACAUAGAUGAAAGUAGCAUAAUCAGAAUCCUUGAAUUUUUCUGAUACUUUUUCAUAUAUAAAUUAUUUUCAUUGGAGUUACAGAUUAAUUUCUAUGAUCUUUGCAAUUUUUAGCAAUUUCCUGAAUUAGUUUUAAACUGGAAAUUCUAUUUAUUGCAUAAGGCUGACGUCAGCAGGUCAGCCGACCUGUGCAGGUCAAACCUGACAGGAGGGCCCCACUGGUCAGCCUCUCUGGGACUAAUCCCGCGCUGACCAGCCCCUAAUUGGGGUUUGACCAGGCGUGGGGCCCUGUGUCAGCGACCCAGAGGAGGGCGAUUAGGCCCUAAUGGUCGGCCACGUCGACGGCCACCGGAGGGUGGUCGCCNAUUGAAUUAUUCCUUAUUUCACAAUUUAGGGUUCUGUAACUUUUUCAAACAUAGAUGAAACUAGCAUAAUCAGAAUCCUUGAAUUUUUCUGAUACUUUUUCAUAUAUAAAUGAUUUUCAUUGGAGUUACAGAUUAAUUUCUAUGAUAUUUGCAAUUUUUAGCAAUUUCCUGAAUUAGUUUUAAACUGGAAAUUCUAUUUAUUGCAUUAGGCUGACGUCAGCAGGUCAGCCGACCUGUGCAGGUCAAACCUGACAGGCGGGCCCCACUGGUCAGCCUCUCUGGCACUAAUCCCGCGCUGACCAGCCCCUAAUUGGGGUUUGACCAGGCGUGGGGCCCUCUCUCAGCGACCCAGAGGAGGGCGAUUAGGCCCUAAUGGUCGGCCACGUCGACGGCCACCGGAGGGUGGUCGCCGGCGACCAAACCCGCGGCGGAGGGCUCACCGGAGGCGACCUAGACGGCGCUGCACAGCACCAAAUCGCACGCGGAUAGGAGCUACAGCAAGCUCGCGAAGCGGCCGAUCUGGCAGGACCAACUGGGGAGGUUAAGGUCGCUGGAAGAGGCGUCGGCGACGAGCCGGAGCGGCGGCCGGAGCUCGGCCUUCGUCGAGGGCUUCGAAUCAGGGGGAUCCAUGCUUAGUUCUUAGCUGCUACGGCAUCUACACGUCGUCCUGGAGCUUCUGGNNNNNNNNNNNNNNNNNNNNNNNNNNNNNNNNNNNNNNNNNNNNNNNNNNNNNNNNNNNNNNNNNNNNNNNNNNNNNNNNNNNNNNNNNNNNNNNNNNNNNNNNNNNNNNNNNNNNNNNNNNNNNNNNNNNNNNNNNNNNNNNNNNNNNNNNNNNNNNNNNNNNNNNNNNNNNNNNNNNNNNNNNNNNNNNNNNNNNNNNNNNNNNNNNNNNNNNNNNNNNNNNNNNNNNNNNNNNNNNNNNNNNNNNNNNNNNNNNNNNNNNNNNNNNNNNNNNNNNNNNNNNNNNNNNNNNNNNNNNNNNNNNNNNNNNNNNNNNNNNNNNNNNNNNNNNNNNNNNNNNNNNNNNNNNNNNNNNNNNNNNNNNNNNNNNNNNNNNNNNNNNNNNNNNNNNNNNNNNNNNNNNNNNNNNNNNNNNNNNNNNNNNNNNNNNNNNNNNNNNNNNNNNNNNNNNNNNNNNNNNNNNNNAAAGUAAAAACUACUUUAAACCUCCUGAAGUAUUUGUUAUAAUGUCCCCACUCAUUUCCAAGACUUUCAACAUUUUUGGAAAAUUAUAGCUUCUGUUUUCAAAUUUUUAGAUUUGAAACCAGUGGCUUUUGCAUUUAUUUAAAAUGCUUGAAGUGCCAAGGAAUUAGUUUUCUCCAAUGCUCUUUUACUUUCAUGAUUUAUCAGAAAGUUUGAACAUUUCUUGAGGCCAUUUUGGGUUCAUUGAUUUUGAACUAGUUUGAAAUUUACUUUAAUUGAAAUGGUGGCUAGGGUUUUGAGUUUUUCCUUUGCCACUUUGUUGUUUUUGUUAAAACUUCUUAGAUGCAAAUGCAAAGAAGACAUGAGCACAAUGCUAUCUAGCUUAAUGUUUUAGGGAUGUGACAACUCACCCCCACUCAAAAGAAUCUCGUCCCGAGAUUUAGAAGUCGUCGGGAAUAACGCAGGAUAUUCAAGUCGGAGACGAUCCUCUCUUUCCCAAGUUGCCUCCUUUUCAAAAUGAUUUGACCAUUGAACUUUAAGAAACUUGAGGUUUCGACGUCGAGUGGUAUGCUCAGCUUGAUCAAGAAUACGCACGGGGUAUUCUCGGUAAGAAAGGUUAUCUUGGAGAUCAAGCGUUUCGUGGUCCACUUCACGGAUAGGAUCCGAAAAGCAACACCUGAGUUGCGAGACGUGGAAAACAUCAUGAACCCUGGAAAGAUGCGGAGGAAGUUCCAACUGGUAGGCAACUUCUCCUCGUUUGGCAAGAAUGCGGAAAGGUCCAAUGUAACGAGGAUCCAACUUGCCCUUGAUACCGAAACGAUGGGUACCCUUCAAAGGUGUAACCCGAAGAUAAGCCUUCUCGUCAACUUCAAAGGUCACAGCCUUAUGAUGACGAUCAUAUUGGCUCUUUUGACGAGACUGGGCUGUUUUCAACUUUUCACGAAUAAUGCGAACCUGCUCUUCUGCAUCCUGGAUCAUGUCCGGGCCAAAGAGUUGCCUCUCUCCGGUUUCUGACCAAUUAAGAGGUGUUCGACAUCUUCGUCCGUAGAGAACUUCAAAAGGGGCUUUGCCCAAGCUUGAUUGAUAACUAUUGUUAUAAGUGAAUUCGGCGAAUGGAAGGCACUUCUCCCAAUUCAUACCGAACGAAAUAACACAAGCUCGGAGCAUAUCUUCUAGGAUUUGAUUCACUCUUUCUACUUGACCACUUGACUGGGGAUGGAAAGCAGUGCUAAAAGAUAAGUGAGUCCCCAUGGCAUUCUGAAAACUUUCCCAGAAUCGAGAAGUAAAGAUACUUCCACGGUCCGAGUUAAUUUCCAGGGGAACACCAUGAAGAGACACUAUUCGAGAGAUAUAUAACUCUGCUAGCUGGCUAGCUUUUAUACUCUCACGAACAGGAAGAAAAUGAGCCACUUUGGAAAGACGGUCAAUGACAACAAAGAUAGCAUUAUUUCCUUUCUUGGUCUUGGGAAAUCCAGUAAUGACUUUAUCCCAUUUCCAUUCAGAAAUAGCUAAAGGUUGAAGGGUGCCAGCAGGCCUUUGAUGUUCUGCCAUAACUCGACGACAAACGUCGCAGUUAGCAACGAACUCAGCAAUUUCUCUCUUCAUCCUAGUCCACCAGAACCUCUGGCGUAGGUCCUGAUACAUCUUAGUACUACCGGGAUGAAUGGUGAGAGGGGAAUCAUGAGCCUCCUUAAGAAUUAACUGCCUUAGAUGUGGGUUCUUAGGAACCACUAAACGAUUCUGGAAGAAUACCACACCUUGAUCAUUCAUGGAAAAUUCUUUAGCGUUUCCGCUAAAAAUAUUCUCCUUGAUCCGUGAUAUACCCUUGUCACGCUUUUGGCCCGCUAUAAUUUGAUCCUUAAGAGUAGGCUUCGCCACCAGGGUAGAAAGGAAUCCUUGAGGAACAAUAUGAAGAUUCAACUUCCGAAAGUCCUCAUGGAGAAGUGGUUGACCUUGUUGUAGCAUCAGAUUGUUACAAUAAGAUUUACGACUUAGUGCAUCGGCCAUAACAUUGGCCUUCCCCGGGGUGUAAGUUAUCCCUAAGUCGUAAUCCGAGAUCAACUCAACCCACCGUCUUUGCCUGAGAUUCAAAUCCGGCUGGGUGAAGAUAUAUUUCAGACUUUGGUGAUCAGUGAAUAUUUUGCAACGAUUACCCAGGAGGUAAUGUCGCCAGGUUUUUAGUGCAUGGACCACAUCUGCAAGCUCAAGGUCAUGUGUGGGAUAAUUAUCCUCAUGUGGACGCAACUGUCGAGAUGCGUAUGCGAUCACAUGACGAUCUUGCAUGAGAAUGCAACCUAAUCCUUGUCGCGAGGCAUCGCAAUAGAUAACAAAGUCCUUAGAAAAAUCUGGUGGUAGCAACACGGGUGCGGAGGUCAGGCGUCUUUUCAGUUCCUGAAAACUAUGCUCACACUAUGGUGUCCACUCGAAAUUUUUAUCCUUCUUGAGGAGUUCAGUCAGAGGCUUUGCAACCUUGGAGAAAUUCUCGACGAAGCGGCGACAAUAGCUCGCUAAACCAAGAAAACUCCUAACUUGCUUAACCGAUUCAGGUUGAGUCCAAUCAAGGACAGCUUGAACUCUCUCGGGAUUGACAGCAAUACCCUUACCAGAGAUUACGUGGCCUAGAUAGGUCACUUCUGGUAACCAGAAUUCACAUUUUGAAAAUUUGGCAUAAAGGCGAUGCUCUCGAAGUUUCAUCAAUACCAGCCUUAGAUGCUCGGCAUGUUCUUGUUCAUUCUUGGAGUAGAUGAGAAUAUCAUCGAGGUAUACUACGACGAAUUUAUCCAAAUACUCCAUGAAGAUUGAAUUCAUCAGCCGAGAGAAUGUGGCUGGGGCAUUGGUUAAACCGAAGGACAUAACGGUGUACUCAUAUUGGCCAUAACGAGUAACAAAGGCCGUUUUUGGAAUGUCCCCGUUCUUAAUCUUGAUUUGAUGGUAUCCCAACCUCAAAUCCAUUUUGGAGAAGACUGAGGAUCCAGCGAGCUGAUCGUACAGAUCGUUGAUCCUGGGGAGCGGAUACUUGUUCUUUAUGGUGACCAGGUUAACUGGUCGGUAAUCUACAACCAUCCGAUCCAUUCCGUCUUUCUUCUUGACGAAGAGGACGGGACAAGCCCAAGGAGAAGAGCUAGGACGAAUGAAACCAUUGUUCAAGGCCUCAUCUAAUUUCUUCUUAAGUUCGGCUAGCUCCAGGGGUGCCAUCUUAUAAGGUCUUCUGGCUAUUGGGACAGUUCCUGGAACAAGAUCUAUUACAAACUCUCCAUCUCUGUCAGGUGGAAUUCCUGGUAGUUCCUCUGGAAAAACAUCCAGGAAGUCACGGACUACCGGAAUGUCUUCAAGUUCCGGAAGAGGGUUGGCAUUUAGGGAAUAGAGUUGGCAUUUGGCAACUCGAGUAGAGACAUUUACUAUCUCACCCGAGGGAUGGGUAAGCUGGACAUUUCUAGAGUGGGUAUCAAUCUUGGCAUAGUGAGCUGACAUCCAGUCCAUGCCCAAGAUGAUAUUAAUAUCCGAAGAUUUCAAUGCUAUCAAUGAGGCUAGAAAAACUAGCCUGUCUACUAGAAUUUCAUUGGCAUAGGUUAUCCUAGAGGUUUGCCAUUUGCUACCAGGGGUUUGGACAACCAAUGGGAUUGGCAUAUCACAAAAUGACAUGUUAUGCAACUGUGCAUAACUUUCUGAAAUGAAGGAAUGAGAAGACCCAGUGUCAAAGAGAACGGACGCUGGGUGAUGAUUAACAAGAAGCGUACCCAGCAUGACGUCGGGAUCCUCUGCAGCUUCUUCUGCUGACACAUAGUUCACACGGCCACGUGCAGGAGUUAGCUUCACAUAAAAUGCUUUGCCCGACUUGGCCUGCCCGACAGACUUUCCGGGUUGCUUGGCACCCACAUUCUGAGGACACUCACGGGAAUAAUGCCCUGGUUCCCCACACUUGUAGCAUAUCACCUGGUUGGCACGUGGUGCAGCAUUGCUAGCUGGACCACCAUAAGCUUUUGCUGGAGGGUUGGCCUGAUUCGUCUGAGGCGCCACGUAGGAUGGCCUCGGAGUGUAUCUUGGCGGCAGAGAACUGUUUGGAACCCACAGCCUGCGUUUUGGAAACGCGGAACCAGAAGACGAGCCAAAGUCACGGGAGUGCUUCCUUGUGGCUUCGAAGUCAGUAUGACCAGUCUCCGCACUGAUCACUUUGUUGACCAGGGCUUGAAAGCUUGCACACUCAUGGAGGCACAGAUCUCGACGGAGCUCAGGGCUCAGACCCUUACGGAAUCUUGCUUGCUUCUUGGCGUCAGUAGACACCUCCUCUGUUGCAUAGCGGGCGAGGUUACCGAACUCGCGGCUAUAGGCAUCCACAGACAACUUGCCUUGAGUGAAGGCACAGAACUCCUCUCUCUUUCUGUCCAUCAGGCCCUCUGGAAUAUGGUGCAGACGAAAAGCUGCACUGAAGUCUGCCCAUGUGGCCACUGGUUCAGCGGGACGCAUAGCUUCAAAAUUCUCCCACCACAGAUUGGCGGGUCCCUCCAGGAAAUACGUCGCGAAGGUCACCUUGUCGGCUUCAGAUACAUUUGCCGAGCGAAUCUUGCGUGAAAUGCUGCAUAGCCAGUCAUCAGCGUCGAGGGGAUCGACGGAAUGAUGAAACUUUGGAGGAUUCAGCUUCACAAAGUCAUUGAGGGAUACUGCAGCAUUCCUAGGCUGUCGAGCCGCAUUCUGCUCAAUACGCUCUAGCAGUCGGUUGGUCUCCCUUUUGUUUCUUUCUGCCUCAAGCAUCACUUCUACGAGAGAAGGUGGGUGAGGCAGGUCUUCCUGCGACGCUUGACUACCCUCACCUUGCUCAAGGGCUGGGGCACGGUUCAACCUGGUGAACACCAUCCUGACAAACAAACUCAUAGCUUAGACCAAUAUCAUAUCAUUACUAGCUAUGGAUUAAGAAUGUACUGAACACACGGAAUGCGGAAAUGAAUAUCCGAACAACAUGGUAACAAGCAACUGCUAUAUAUACACCAUGGUUCAUACACACCCUUACAUAGUUCAGUACAAACUUACUCGAAGAGCAAACUACUGAAAUGGUGGAACUACUCAUCAGAGGAUUACAAGCUUCCUAUACAUUAUUUAUCUAGGCCUCCGGAAUUCGUUUCACAUUACUACCAUACUCCACAAGUCACACAGGACUGUGAACAUACGGCUACUACCAUACUAUCCUUCCGCUCACAGCUCAGGCAUCCGCAUAGAACAUCUCAUAGAGAUUACCUCCAUGACCUGGAAGCUCAACCUGCGGAUCAGGAAACACUCUUGCCUGAGAUCCCUGGGAUCCAUAAGGACACGGAUGUGGCCUUGGUCCCCUGGCUGGUGGUAUGAGGGGUCCCCGAAGAGGUGUGACUCCUCCUAUAGCUGGCCAGUCAACGUGGGCCGGAAGAUGGGUCCUAACAGGGUUCAGCAUCUCCAUCUCUCCAUACCCUGUCUGGACCACCGGUGCCAGCUGCGUCAAAGCUGUCCACAGGCGGGCACGGGUAGCGUAAAGCUCCAUGCGGAGAGCACGAGCAUCCCUGUCUCUGUUCUCUAGCAUCUCAACAGUGGACUGCAGAAGUGGGUCCUCCAUGGAAGAAUCAAAAUAGACUCCACUGAGGUAUCCCUCUUCACCAAACUGAGAGGCCGGAACAUAGCAGAACUCUGAAUUCUGCAGCAGUGCAUGUCUCGCUCUCAUAAUAGUCAGCAUUGAAUAGGCAGCAUCUUGUACUGCCAUGUCAACAGUGACUCCCAACCCAUAGGACCAAUGGAUUGGCUUCUCCGCUCCAGGGUAGUCUGGAAAUACCCUAACAGUGCAGAUGUAUUGGCUCUGGUUGAAGUCUCGGUACUGUUCCUCCACUGUGUACUCGGGGUACCAGCGGUAACCGCACACCGACAUCAUCCUGACCAGCAUGGCCGUAUGACCCGGUACAUCAAUGCAUCUAGUCAGACGUACCACCUGACGAGAAGGACGGCCAGGCAUCUGUAAUUAGAGAGUAAUGCAGAAGCAUUAGAGCUCUGAAUGCAAAAUUGGGCAGCAUAACGGCUGUAAGUGCUCAAAAACAAAUUUUGAGACAACCCAAAAUUGAAAUAGCGUCACCACUCAACUAUCAAAUUCAACUCUCUGAUCAUCAAACUUACUUCGUGCUUCCUAGAAAUAAAAGAAACCCACUCUCUCUCGACCCGUAGUCCUAUAAUCUACCGAUCAAAAUCCGAGCCUAGGAGAAGAUGAGUAACCUAGUCCUUAAUUCCCGCAGAAAAGACGAGGAUGACCAGAAUAGAAUACCUUGAGAAGAGAACAAGAGUGUUACGUUCCCUUCCACAAACAAUUCCCUUAUAUAUAACUAAGAAAUUCUAGACUCAACUUCGACCAGUUUGGCUUAGUAAUCCUACAGUCAGUCAGGCUCUGAUACCAACGCUGUCGGGACCCCGAUCCUAAGCCAUAGGAAUCUAACCUGUGACCCAUCGCAUCCCUUUGUGGUCUCACGCAUGGUUAACUCCACGGCUGCAGCCUUACCUUAGCCGGGACCGUUUGCGUCUUUUGACUCACGUAUGCGAUCGUGUCGCUAGCAUUCCAAUGUCAAAGAACCCGGAUCGACAUGUCUAGUCAUAAACCAAAGUGGCAGUUCCGUACAAGGACAGGCAUACAUGACCCAACAAAGCAGGUGUCGGUCAUCGACGAACGUAGACGAGUCGUAGCAAGCUACAAGGACUCCAUUACGUCGUGUGACAUUUCCCCAAAGGGGACAGACACAGCAGCUAAGAAGGACACAUGCCGGUCAACCAAUGCAUCCGGAGCAGUAGCGAACUACCAAGGCUCGUUGGAUCACAAAGGGGCAUUUCCUUGUAAGGGGUGCUACUAAAGUACACGACUAGGUAAUCGAACCCCAUACAUAUCAAGUAAGACACACGUACGCAUAGCAUACUGAUAUGUAUAGAUACAUCGAUGGCAUCACAACAUAACCAUAGACAUACAAGCUUUAUUGAAGAGGCUCGGAAGAGCCUCACACAUAUUAUUACACAUUAAGGGUCUCACGACCCAUAAUAUCAGUCACACACUACAAGCCAGCGGAAGAGUUAGAAGGUGUCUGGGUACAGACAGAGCAACUAGAAGGCACAUGGCCUGACUAUACUACAGAACCUACGUAGGGCCAGGUCGUAGCUGGGACACCAGCAACUCGUCGUCGUCGAUGUCUACGAAGAACCCUCCAUUAGGGUCGUUAGGAACCUCUGCAACAUUUAUUAAACAAACAUGAGUACGAAGGUACUCAGCAAGACUUUAGGAUGGCUAACUACUCAUGCAAGGUAUCAAGAAGGUAUUGUGGGGUUUCAUGCGGAAAGCCAGCAUUUGACUCGUGGCUAGACAACUUGCUUUUUGAAAUUAGUUUUGACAACUUGAUUUCUCGCACACGAGUCCACUAACACCACAACAAUACACUAUCGUGGAAUCAUUCNUGUCGCUAGCAUUCCAAUGUCAAAGAACCCGGAUCGACAUGUCUAGUCAUAAACCAAAGUGGCAGUUCCGUACAAGGACAGGCAUACAUGACCCAACAAAGCAGGUGUCGGUCAUCGACGAACGUAGACGAGUCGUAGCAAGCUACAAGGACUCCAUUACGUCGUGUGACAUUUCCCCAAAGGGGACAAACACAGCAGCUAAGAAGGACACAUGCCGGUCAACCAAUGCAUCCGGAGCAGUAGCGAACUACCAAGGCUCGUUGGAUCACAAAGGGGCAUUUCCUUGUAAGGGGUGCUACUAAAGUGCACGACUAGGUAAUCGAACCCCAUACAUAUCAAGUAAGACACACGUACGCAUAGCAUACAGAUAUGUAUAGAUACAUCGAUGGCAUCACAACAUAACCAUAGACAUACAAGCUUUAUUGAAGAGGCUCGGAAGAGCCUCACACAUAUUAUUACACAUUAAGGGUCUCACGACCCAUAAUAUCAGUCACACAUUACAAGCCAGCGGAAGAGUUACAAGUUGUCUGGGUACAGACAGAGCAACUAGAAGGCACAUGGCCUGACUAUACUACAGAACCAACGUAGGGCCAGGUCGUAGCUGGGACACCAGCUACUCGUCGUCGUCGAUGUCUACGAAGAACCCUCCAUUAGGGUCGUUAGAAACCUCUACAACAUUUAUUAAACAAACAUGAGUACGAAGGUACUCAGCAAGACUUUAGGAUGGCUAACUACUCAUGCAAGGUAUCAAGAAGGUAUUGUGGGGUUUCAUGCGGAAAGCCAGCAUUUGACUCGUGGCUAGACAACUUGCUUUUUGAAAUUAGUUUUGACAACUUGAUUUCUCGCACACGAGUCCACUAACACCACAACAAUACACUAUCGUGGAAUCAUUCUGUCUCCAUACGGAAAUGCCGUCCACGACACUCACGCUUAUCUUGACAAUUUUAGGAGUAGCCAUUUAAGUUACCUAUGAACAACAUAUGUCUCCAAGUAGUCCAUAUCCGCGGACGCGGCUAUCCGAAUAGAUCAUAACCCUGCAGGGGUGUACUUCGUCACACACGCUCCCGCCACUUAUCGCCAUGUGCACGUCAUGCACCUCGGCAACCUUCAAGCGGAAGCCCAGCGAGGGAGUCGGCCACGACCGUUAACCACACUAGUACCUAGUCCAGGUUUAUCGCCUAUCUGAGAGUAACCCGUACGGAAGUCCGGCCGAGGUUUCCGCCACGGCCUCAAACGAUGUGCGCAGGGUUCCCAAGCCCACCAUCCGGGUGCCACUUGGUACACCGUACCACUGCCUACCGCAUCACGGUCCACCUCUCAGGUCAGCACCAUGCACGGCCUCCAGCAUUACUAUAAACANAGGGGUGUACUUCGUCACACACGCUCCCGCCACUUAUCGCCAUGUGCACGUCAUGCACCUCGGCAACCUUCAAGCGGAAGCCCAGCGAGGGAGUCGGCCACGACCGUUAACCACACUAGUACCUAGUCCAGGUUUAUCGCCUAUCUGAGAGUAACCCGUACGGAAGUCCGGCCGAGGUUUCCGCCACGGCCUCAAACGAUGUGCGCAGGGUUCCCAAGCCCACCAUCCGGGUGCCACUUGGUACACCGUACCACUGCCUACCGCAUCACGGUCCACCUCUCAGGUCAGCACCAUGCACGGCCUCCAGCAUUACUAUAAACACCAGAAACUACUUGCAACUCCUGGACCGAGUACUAAGCGAUUAAUAGGCCGAGCGGGGUCAUAUUUCAGGGCCCAGCAUGUGGUAGUAUCUAGUCUUGGAUUACAUACACGGAACUCAGUUCCUAAGGACGGUUCCAAUGAAACAACCCGCCAUGUACUCCUACACAGCCUUUCACCGGUACCUUUACCAAAUCAAGUUCAACACACGACCUUUGUUCACCGAACACAUUCCACAUUUCUAUUCAUCUCCCAGAUGACAGACCAUACACAACUCUAAGCAUAGCAUGCAUAGCAGGAUAAGGCACAUCAUAGCUCAAGCAACUACCAGGUAUGCUAGGUUGCAAGGUUCGGCUAUUUACUGUGACAAGGUUAAGUCAUGCAAAGGAAGUGGGUCCAACUAUCGUGGCAAAAGCAGUUGAAGCAUUUGAUCCUAAUGCAAUGAAUAGGUGCAGGAGCAAGAAUAUAGGAGUUAUCGGGAUGAUCAAAAGGGUUGCUUGCCUUGUUGCUCAAAGGAGGAACGAUAUCCGUCAGACGGAUAUUCGGUGGAAUCCGGGGGUGCGGAGCCUACCGAAAUGAACGGCAACAUUCAAUAACAAUCAUAUGCAAUCAAAAUGAUGCAUGAGCAAGGCAUGAGAAUGCAAGUGAUAAGUUAUUAUAAUCAAGAUGUUUUAGGUUUAGAGUUGAUUUGAAUCACAUUCNCUCAAGCAACUACCAGGUAUGCUAGGUUGCAAGGUUCGGCUAUUUACUGUGACAAGGUUAAGUCAUGCAAAGGAAGUGGGUCCAACUAUCGUGGCAAAAGCAGUUGAAGCAUUUGAUCCUAAUGCAAUGAAUAGGUGCAGGAGCAAGAAGAUAGGAGUUAUCGGGAUGAUCAAAAGGGUUGCUUGCCUUGUUGCUCAUAGGAGGAACGAUAUCCGUCAGACGGAUAUUCGGUGGAAUCCGGGGGUGCGGAGCCUACCGAAAUGAACGGCAACAUUCAAUAACAAUCAUAUGCAAUCAAAAUGAUGCAUGAGCAAGGCAUGAGAAUGCAAGUGAUAAGUUAUUAUAAUCAAGAUGUUUUAGGUUUAGAGUUGAUUUGAAUCACAUUCGAAUAGUAAUUCAAACGGGUAUUCCCGGAUACCGGUUUAAUUGAUUCGACCUGAUGCUCAGAUCAACCUAAUGUUAACAUGCAUGAGAUGUCAUGUUAUGGUACUGAUUUACAUCUAGGGUUGUGUAUGAUCAUUGCAUUUAUAAAGAAAUUUGGAUAUUUUUGCAAAUUCCAUUUAUAAAGUGAUUAAAAGAAUUGAAUUAUUCCUUAUUUCACAAUUUAGGGUUCUGUAACUUUUUCAAACAUAGAUGAAAAUAGCAUAAUCAGAAUCCUUGAAUUUUUCUGAUACUUUUUCAUAUAUAAAUAAUUUUCAUUGGAGUUACAGAUUAAUUUCUAUGAUUUUUGCAAUUUUUAGCAAUUUCCUGAAUUAGUUUUAAACUGGAAAUUCUAUUUAUUGCAUCAGGCUGACGUCAGCAGGUCAGCCGACCUGUGCAGGUCAAACCUGACAGGGGGGGCCCACUGGUCAGCCUCUCUGGCACUAAUCCCGCGCUGACCAGCCCCUAAUUGGGGUUUGACCAGGCGUGGGGCCCUCUAUCAGCGACCCAGAGGAGGGCGAUUAGGCCCUAAUGGUCGGCCACGUCGACGGCCACCGGAGGGUGGUCGCCGGCGACCAAACCCGCGGCGNNNNNNNNNNNNNNNNNNNNNNNNNNNNNNNNNNNNNNNNNNNNNNNNNNNNNNNNNNNNNNNNNNNNNNNNNNNNNNNNNNNNNNNNNNNNNNNNNNNNNNNNNNNNNNNNNNNNNNNNNNNNNNNNNNNNNNNNNNNNNNNNNNNNNNNNNNNNNNNNNNNNNNNNNNNNNNNNNNNNNNNNNNNNNNNNNNNNNNNNNNNNNNNNNNNNNNNNNNNNNNNNNNNNNNNNNNNNNNNNNNNNNNNNNNNNNNNNNNNNNNNNNNNNNNNNNNNNNNNNNNNNNNNNNNNNNNNNNNNNNNNNNNNNNNNNNNNNNNNNNNNNNNNNNNNNNNNNNNNNNNNNNNNNNNNNNNNNNNNNNNNNNNNNNNNNNNNNNNNNNNNNNNNNNNNNNNNNNNNNNNNNNNNNNNNNNNNNNNNNNNNNNNNNNNNNNNNNNNNNNNNNNNNNNNNNNNNNNNNNNNNNNNNNNNNNNNNNNNNNNNNNNNNNNNNNNNNNNNNNNNNNNNNNNNNNNNNNNNNNNNNNNNNNNNNNNNNNNNNNNNNNNNNNNNNNNNNNNNNNNNNNNNNNNNNNNNNNNNNNNNNNNNNNNNNNNNNNNNNNNNNNNNNNNNNNNNNNNNNNNNNNNNNNNNNNNNNNNNNNNNNNNCUUUUCCUUUUUCUACUGUUUUUGUUUUUCUGUUUUGCUAUUUAUUGCUUUGCUAAUUAUUUCAGCUCCAAAACAAAAAGUAAAAACUACUUUAAACCUCCUGAAGUAUUUGUUAUAAUGUCCCCACUCAUUUCCAAGACUUUCAACAUUUUUGGAAAAUUAUAGCUUCUGUUUUCAAAUUUUUAGAUUUGAAACCAGUGGCUUUUGCAUUUAUUUAAAAUGCUUGAAGUGCCAAGGAAUUAGUUUUCUCCAAUGCUCAUUUACUUUCAUGAUUUAUCAGAAAGUUUGAACAUUUCUUGAGGCCAUUUUGGGUUCAUUGAUUUUGAACUAGUUUGAAAUUUCCUUUAAUUGAAAUGGUGGCUAGGGUUUUGAGUUUUUCCUUUGCCACUUUGUUUUUUUUGUUAAAACUUCUUAGAUGCAAAUGCAAAGAAGACAUGAGCACAAUGCUAUCUAGCUUAAUGUUUUAGGGAUGUGACACCACAGUCGUGGAGCCACUCUACAGACGUGGCCCACUAGUUCAUCGUGGAUAUGGAGGUCGAACUUCAUACCUGGUUCUAGCUCACGGGGUCCUUCGCAGGGGAGAUGGUGGAGCGUGUUCCCUAGGCCAGUGGCUGCAGUCAGAUGGCUGUAGCAACGGGCCCUCAUGGGUGGUGACCGAAUUCACCCACGUGGCUUCAAGUACCUAGCAGGGGGGGAUACGUCUCCGUCGUAUCUACUUUUCCGAACUCUUUUGCCCUUGUUUUGGACUCUAAUUUGCAUGAUAUGAAUGGAACUAACCCGGACUAACGCUGGUUUCAGCAGAAUUGCCAUGGUGUUGUUUUUGUGCAGAAAUAAAAGUUCUCGGAAUGUCCUAAAAAUUUACGGAUAUUUUUCUCGAAUAAAAGAAAAAUACCUGCGCAAAGAUCCACCGGAGGAGGUGGACCAUUGGGCCACAAGCCCACAGGCCGUGGCCACUCCCCUGGUCGCGCAGUGAGGGCUUGUGGGGCCCACGUGGCUCCACCGCCCCAAACUCAGCUCUAUAUCUUCCGUCUCGCCCGAAAAAAAAUCAAAGAGAAGGUUCCAUCGCGUUUUAUGAUACGGAGGCGCCGCCACCUCGUGUUCUUCAUCUGGAGGGCAGAUCUGGAGUCCGUUCCGGGAUCCGGAGAGGGGAAAUCGUCGCCAUCGUAAUCAUCAACCUUCCUCCAUCGAUAAUUCCAUUAUGAUCUUCAUCGUUCGUGAGUAAUCUCAUCGUAGGCUUGCUCGACAGUGAUGAGUUGGAUGAGAUCUAUCAUGUAAUCGAGUUAGUUUUGACGGGGCUUGAUCCCAAGUAUCCACUAUGUUCUAGAUUGAUGUUGCUACUACUUUUCCAUGCUUAAUGUUUGUCACUAGGGCCCGAGUGCCAUGAUUUCAGAUCUGAACCUAUUAUGUUGUCGCCAAUAUAUGUGUGUUUUAGAUCCUAUCUUGCAAGUUGUAGUCACCUACUAUGUGUUACGACCCGGCAACCCCGGAGUGACAAUAGCCGGAACCACUCCCGGAGAUGACCAUAGUAUGAGGAGUUCAUGCAUUCACCGCGUGUUAAUGCGUUGGUCCAGUUCUUUAUUAAAAGGAGAACCUUAAUAUCCUGUAGUUUCCAUUAGGACCCCGUUGCCACGGGAGGGAUGGACAAUAGAUGUCAUGUAAGUUCUUUUCCCUAAGCACUUAUGACUACAUACGGAAUACAUGCCUACAUUAGAUUGACGAACGAGGGCUAGUUACAUAUCUCUCCGUGUUAUAGCUGUUACAUGAUGAAUCACAUCCGGCAUACUCAUCCAUCACCGAUCCACUGCCUACGAGUCUUUUACUAUCGGUCCUUGCUACGUUACUUUGUCUAGGCUUGUCCCUUGCUACAAAAGUGGUUGGGCCACUUUGUUACUACUGUUGCUACUGUUGUUACUCUGCUGCUGCUGCUACUACUGUUCGUUGCUACUUUGUUGCUCCUUGUUGCAAGAUCCUUUUUCGUCACCGUUGGCGGGGAAGAAUAGUUCCCCGUCCACGUGCAACUUACUGGCACCAUUGAUACAACAGUUAGGAAUAGUGUGCUAUCAUACUACUUUGCUACUGAUACUUUGCUUGCAGACACUAAUCUUUCAGGUGUGGUUCAAUCUGACAAACUCAGCUGCUGAUACUUGAGAAUAUUCUUUCGUACCCCUUGAGGCAAAUCAACAAAUUUGGGUCGAAUACUCUACCUUCGAAAACUGUUGCCAUCCCCUACACUUUUGGGUUAUCAAGACCUUUUUCUUGCGCCGUUGUCGGGGAGGCACAACUAUAUUCUCUGAGUCACUUGGGGUUUUCGUCUGCUGAUCACUAUGAGGAAUCAGAAAGAUCCAAGAACUAAAAUCUUGUCUUCCACUACGAGGAGAGGUAAGGAAUUGCCAUCUAGCUUUGCACUUGAUUCACCUUUAGUUUUGAGUAAGUUUGCGACAUCACCUCCUGCUAGAAAUCUUGAUAUGUCGCCUGUGCUUGAUGAUGCUACUUCUGUUGCCCAUGAUGCUUAUGAUGAUGCCAUGCUUGAUCCUAUGCCUGAUGAUGCUAUGCUUGAUACUAUGCCUAAUCAUGCCAUGCUUGAUACUAUGCCUGAUGAUGCUAUGCGUGAUACUGCUUUGUCACUUGGUGCAUUCCUUGAUGCACAUAUUGCUAGAGUUGCUGCUAGACGUGAUGAUACUUCUGAAACUGCUGAUACUAUUGAAGUAGAACCUGCUACUAUGUCUGAAUUGCCUGUUAUGCCUGAUACACGCUAUGUUAUGGAGGGAGAGAUAGCUGAGGAUUUUCUUGUGUGUAAGGAUAGCUAUGGUGUUGAGAAACUUCUGCGCAAGUGGAAAGAAAAAUUUGUGAACGCUAGAAUGAAAUAUGACCCGAAGUUUGUUACUUCGCCUAUUUUUGUGACCGAUAAGGAUUAUGAAUUCUUUGUCGACCCUGAGUUAAUCACUCUAGUCGAAUCUGAUCCUUUUCACGGUUAUGAGUCUGAAACGGUUGUAGCCCAUCUUAAUAAACUGCACGAUAUAGCCUCCCUAUUCACUAGUGAGGAAAUGAUCCGCCACUACUAUAUGCUCAAGCUGUUUCCUUUCUUGCUAAAGGAUGAUGCUAAGACCUGGUUCACUUUUCUUGCUCCUGGUUGUGUGCGUAGUCCCCAGGAUAUGGUCUACUACUUCUCUGGAAAAAAUUCCCUGCCCAUGAGAAGCAAGCUGCCUUGCUGGAACCCCCCCCCCCCCCCCACUUUGCUCAAGCUGAGGAAGAGAGACUCCCACAAGCUUGGGAGAGGCUUAUCCAGCUACUGAAUGCUUUGCCUGAUCACCCUCUUGAGAAGAAUGAAAUACUUGAUAUCUUCUAUAAUGGACUUACCGAUGCUUCUAAAGACCACCUAGAUAAUUGUGCCGGUAGUGUUUUUAGGGAACGAAUCGUAGAACAAGCUGAGAUUCUAUUGAAUAACAUCUUGUGCAAUGAGAAUGCUUGGACUAUUCCCGAACCCCCUCCUAAGCCAACUCCGAAUAAAAGAGGUAUUAUAUUCCUCAGUCCUGAAGAUAUGCCAGAAGCAAAGAAACCUAUGCGAGAGAAAGGUAUUAAAUCUGAAGAUGUCAAAAACCUAUCGAAGAGAUCCAUGGUCUCGAUAACCCGAUACAGGUAGUGGAAGUAAAUUCUCUACGUAGGUUUGAUGAGAGUGAUAUUCCUUUUGAUAAACCUGCUAGCUUAUGCAUGGAUGAAUUUGACAACUUCGUUGCCAAACAACAAAGUUUCAAUGAUUAUGUUAGCAGACAAUUGGAAAAGAAUGCUCGUAUGCUUAGUCAUUUAAGUGCUUGUGUGGACAGAAACGUCAAUGAUCUUAAACUUCUGAGUAAACAUGCCUCUAUGGUUACUACUUAGGUAGAACAAGUACUUAAAGCUCAGAAUGACUUGCUCAAUGAGUUGAAUGACAAUUCCGUCAGAGUCAUUACUAGAGGCGGUAGAAUGAGCCAGGAACCUCUGUAUCCGGAGGGUCAUCCGAAGAGAGUUGAACAAGAUUCUCAAGGAGUUAGCACUGAUGCACCCAGUCAUCCUAGAAAGAAGAAGAAAGAUGAUAGGAACCUGCACGCUAGCAACCCUGUUGCUGCUACACCUGGGAGUCCAAACGAUGCCUCUAUCUCUGAUGCUAAAACACAAUCUGGUGAUGAACAUGAGGCUAAUGAUAAUAUCAAUAGUGAUGUUCAUGAACAUGCUCAACCUAGCAAUGAUAAGGAUGUGGAGAUUGAAACUGUUGAUCUUGAUAACCCACAACCUAAGAAUCAGAGAGACAAUAAGAAUGACUUCACUGCUAGGAAGCAUGGUAAAGAAAGGGAACCAUGGGUUCAGAAACCUAUGCCCUUUCCUCCCAAACUAUCCAAGAAAAAGGAUGAUGAAGAUUUUGAGCGCUUCGUUGAAAUGAUCAUACCUAUCUUUCUGCAGAUGCGUUUGACAGAUAUGCUCAAGAUGUAUCCUUAUGCUAAGUACAUGAAAGAUAUUGUGACUAAUAAGAGGAGGAUACCUGAGGUUGAGAUUUCCACCAUGCUCGCUAAUUAUACCUUCAAGGGUGGAACUACUAAGAAACUAGGUGAUCCCGGUGUGCCCACUAUACCUUGCUCCAUUAAAGGUAACUACGUGAGAACUGCUUUAUGCAACCUUGGAGCGUUUGUUAGUGUUAUGCCUCUCUCUCUUUAUCGUAGACUUGAACUAGAUAAGUUGACACCCACUGAAAUCUCUCUGCAAAUGGACGACAAAUCAACUUCUUUCCCUAUUGGCGUUUGCGAGGAUGUGCCUGUUGUGGUUACCUAUGUCAAUAUCUUAACAGACUUUGUUAUUCUAGAUAUUCCCGAGGAAGAUGACAUGGCAGUCAUCCUCGGAAGACCCUUUUUAAACACGGCAGGGGCUGUUAUAGAUUGCAACAAAGGCAAUGUCACUUUCCAUGUCAAUGGUAAUGAGCAUACGGUGCACUUUCCGAAGAAACAAUAUUGAGUACAUUGCAUCAAUGCUAUCGAAAAAACUUCAUCGAUUCUUAUUGGGAGCUUUGAAUGCCCUAUUCCUCGUGUCAAGAUGAAGUAUGAUUUGCUUGUUGGGGAGAUACACAUCCCAUUGAGGUGACCUAGUGAGUAUUCGAAAAUUCUCCAUUCUCUUUCGCGAUUCGAGAAAGUUUUGUCGAGGGGAUUUGAUCAACCUCAUAUACGGAUUUCUUUCGAUGACCAUGAGAUGGAUGAAUCAAGGAGUCACAAACCUCUGUUCCAAGCUUUCACUUUAGGUUGCUUAGAAGAAAAAUGAUAGAUUUAGUUUAGUUUUCCCUGUUUUCUAUUUUUGCGUCCGGAAGAAAAGUACUCCGAAAAUAAAAGUUCUCCGAACGCCGUGAAAAUCACGUAUGAUUUUUUCCGGAAUUUUUGAAAAAUUCUCGGACAAAGAGUUUGUCUGGGGGCCACACCAGUGGGCCACAAGCCCUAGGGGCGCGGGAACCCCCCUGGCCAUGCCACCCAGGCUUGUGGGGCCCACAAGCACUGCCUCCACUCAUUCUUGCUCUUAUCUCCUUCUCCUACCUCCAGAAAAAGUCGUUUCGCAGCUCAAACCCGUGUUCUUGCUUCUCUUGCUGGGAUUUUCGAUCUCUUUGCUCAAAUCACCGUUCUCCGAACUGUUUUGGGGAAAUUACUCCUUGGUAAGUGACAGCUCCAUUGGUCCAAUUAGUUUUUGCUCUAGUGCCUUAUACUCCGCGUAUUUUUGCUGCCUUGGUGACCCUGUUCUUGAGCUUUGCAUGCUAAUUUUAGCUGGUCCCAAGUAGUUUUGAUGCAUAAUAUGGCCUCUAGGCACUUGUGGGAGUAGUUGCUACGAUUUUAGUUGAGCCUUGUUCACUUUUCCUUAGAAUCACUAGAAAUUUCAGAAAUAUUCAGAGAUUGAAAAGGGAAAAGAUGAGGAGGUUCUUAAGAGGCUCGUCAAGCCGUGACCCCAAGGAUGAUGGUAGUGAGAAGAAGCCCAAGUAUUUGGUCCCUCAAGUCGCAGAAGUUCGAGCGUGCGAGUGGCCAAGCGACGUGUUCUUACGCGCCGCUGGAAUUUGUGAGGACUUUUAUCACUUGGUGGAGAACGCAGGCCUUACCACCUUCGUUGAAGAUAAGUGUCCGCAAAAUCUCCUCCUCACUAAUAUCUUCGUACAAAGUUUUAACUUCUAUCCGAGGAAGAAUGCUCCUAUGGUUGAGUUCAAACUUUACGAUAUCCCCCAGCGCAUGUCACUCCAGGAUUUUUGCAAUGUUUGCAAAUUUCCUUAUGUUGGGGAUAUUCAUGAACCUCGUCCACGGGACUUGGAAGCUUUCAUCGGUACUAUUGCUGUAGGAGAGGAGAGAGGAGUGUCUUGCGCUAGAGCUGCUAGCAUUCAUUUUCCCGUGCUUCGAUACUUCUCAUUAUUUGUGGGAAAAUGUUUGAUUGGCCGUGGGAAAGCUGGGUCACUUAGUUCCCCAGAUCCUGCGGUCUUGCGCGAAGCCCUUUAUAACGAUAAAACUUAUAGCUUGGGCGCUAUAGUAGCUCAUCGGUUGAACCUAAACCGUUCUAAAGGUGUUGUCUAUGGAGGUAUCUAUGCUACCCAUCUUGCCAGACACUUUGAGAUACCUAUUAGACUGGAAGAGGAAGAAGAGGUUCUUCUUCCCGAGAGAUAUCUAGAUUACGAUAGCAUGGUUCGCCAUGACUUUCUUGAUAGAGAUAUAAGUAGAAGGAUGAUUUAUAACCUGGUAUUUAGUCAGGGUACUCGUGAGACUAUUACUUUGCCUGCUCCUUCUUUGUUCAAUCUUCAUGCAGGCAGGUACAUUAUUAUGCCUUCGGACAUCUACGCAUAUUGGGGCUUAGCCCAACCGCAGGUGCCCGUGCCCGAGCCACCAGUCGAGUAGCAGACGCCGGUUUAUCAGUGGGAGCCAGAGAAGCUCACACAGCAGUGGCAUCCUCAGUCCAUUCGAGAGUACCCAGGAGCUGGUUAUUUCCCCCCUUGGGAGUAGACCAACUUAGGCCAAAAGCCUAAGCUUGGGGGAGUACGUGUUCUCACCGACUUCACAUUCUUGCUUAUGCUUUCACUUUGUUAGUCGGUGUUCACACUUUGCCACUGUAUCAUCCAUGCUAGUUUAUUUUCUUUUUCUCAUUUUCUUUUCGUGUGUCUGUCUAGUUUGAGAAAAACCCAAAAAGAUUUUCUUUUCUUCUUUUGCUUGUUGGGAGCUUUCCCGUGUAGAUAGUUUUCUUUUUCUUUGGGUCAAGGUAGAAGUUAUUGGUUACAAUGUUUAGUGGCUCUUGCAUGCAUACCUGUUUAGCUUUCAAAGAGCCAUAUUACAUUGUCUUCUCCUUUGUAUUUUCCUGCAGAUUCCUGCUUUAGUCCAAUGCACAAGCACUCUUAUUAUUGUUCACAUCAUUCGGUCGUGCAAGUUAAAGGCAAUAAUGACGAUAUAUGAUGAAGUGACUGAGCCUAGAAAAGCUGGUAUGAACUCGAUCUAUAUUGUUUUUGUAAAUAUGACUAGCUCACUGUUCCUAGUUCAGCUUUGUUGUGAGGGAAACAUGUUUGCAAUGACAACUUAGAGAUUAUAGUUGCUUAUGCCAUGCUUACUUAGCUAGGAGCUUAUAAUGGUUUGUCUUGGAUGCCCACAUGAAUGUUGAGAUGACUAUGAUGUAGUAUGAUAGGAUGGUAUCCUCCUUUGAAUGAUUCAAGUGGCUUGGCUUGGCGCAUGUUUAUGCAUGUAGUUGAAACAAAAUCAACAUAGCCUCUAUGAUGUUCAUGUUCAUGGUGAUUUAUGUCCUACUCAUGCUUGCACUCAAUGCUAGUUAAUCUCAAUGCAUUUUGAUGACUGUUGUCGCUCUCUAGUUGGUCGCUUCCCAGUCUUUUGCUAGCCUUCACUUGUAAUAAGCGGGAAUACUGCUUGUGCAUCCACUUCCAUAAACCCAAAGUUGUUCCAUAUGUGUCCACCAUACCUACCUAUGUGCGGUAUCUACCUGCCGUUCCAAGUAAAUUUGCAUGUGCCACUCUCUAAACCCUCAAGAAAUAAUAUGCUUUGCAUCCCAAACCACUCAUGUGGUGACAGGGGGCUAUUGGUAUCUUCCAUGCUAGGCGUGUUAUCUUCGAUAUGUGUUUAUUCACCAUUCACGAGAAAGGGGCCGGUAAUUGGAAUUCCCAUGCUCAAAUCGAAAAGAUAAUUGCAAACAGAACUCCCCCAGGAUUGAUGUUGGUAUGGACGGUACCCGAGGAUUCGGCUAGCUGUGGAGUGUGAUUGAUUGGUGGUGGGGGAGUCAAAACUUUACUUUUCUGUUUGGGAACCGCCUAUAGCAUGUGUAGCGUGGAAGAUGUUGAGAACUCUUAGUCAUUGCAUUGACAAUGAAAGCAUGCCACCCAAAUUUAUUAUCUCUAUUUUCAAAGCUUGAGCUGUGGCACCUCUGCAAAUUAAUGCUUCCCUCUGCGAAGGGCCUGUCUAUUUAUGUUCCUGUUGAGUCAUCCUCCUCUUAUGAAAGCACCAAUUAGAGAGCACCUCUGUUAUUGCUUUGCUUUUAACUGUGUUGAGUAUGACUCUGACUGGAUCUUCAUUGCCUUGAAUUACAAUGUUUAGUCACCCCUUGGUCUUUGAAGGUGCUCUGCGUUUAUAUUUUGCGGUCUCAGAAAGAGCUAGCGAGAUACCAUAUAUUCGUACUGGUUCAUGUUGCUUUGAUCGAAGUGUUGACGUUUGAGACUUAUUAUUAUUUGCUCGCUAGUUGAUUAUUGAUAUGAGUUUACCGUGAGACCUAGAUGUCAUUUACUUAUGUGGUUUGCUUGUGAUCUUGCUAAAACUCUGGAUAUGAGUUAGACAUAGUUACAACAACAAGAUCAAACAAAGUUCGUCAAAGUUUUUCUUUUGUCUCUUUUAGUUUGUCAACUGAAUUGCUUGAGGACAACCAAGCCUUUAAGCUUGGGGGAGUUGAUACGUCUCCGUCGUAUCUACUUUUCCGAACUCUUUUGCCCUUGUUUUGGACUCUAAUUUGCAUGAUUUCAAUGGAACUAACCCGAACUAACGCUGUUUUCAGCAGAAUUGCCAUGGUGUUGUUUUUGUGCAGAAAUAAAAGUUCUCGGAAUGUCCUGAAAAUUUACGGAGAUUUUUUUCUGGAAUAAAAGAAAAAUACCUGCGCAAAGAUCCACCGGAGGAGGUGGACCAGUGGGCCACAAGCCCACACGCCACAGCCACGCCCUGGCCCCGUCGUGAGGGCUUGUGGGGCCCACGUGGCUCCACCGCUCCCAAACUCAGCUCUAUAUCUUCCGUCUCGCCCGGAAAAAAAUCAGAGAGAAGGUUUCAUCGCAUUUUACGAUACGGAGGCACCGCCACCUUGUGUUCUUUAUCUGGAGGGUAGAUCUGGAGUCCGUUCCGGGCUCCGGAGAGGGCAAAUCGUUGCCAUCGUGAUCAUCAACCUUCCUCCAUCGAUAAUUCCAUGAUGCUCUUCACCGUUCGUGAGUAAUCUCAUCGUACGCUUGCUGGACGCACUACAAGGAAUAUGCAAAUACACGACGCUAUAUUUUCGUCGCUACAUCGUCACGGUUUUUAGUUUACGACGAUCUCACGACAAAAAACCAAGCGUCGAAAACGGAGCGUCACAAAUGAACAGCACCGACGUUUUGAUCGAAAUCGUCGUAACUUCUACGACGAUUCCUGGAUCGUCAUAACCUUUACGACGAUCCUAAAUCAUCGUUGACAAUAUAACCCAGUCCUACGUGGCAGUCCCACAUGGCAAAGUUACGAUGAAAUCAAAACAUCAUAGUUGAAAUCAGCCCAACCCAUUUCAAUUGAUCACAUGGGCUGGUUUUAUUUUUUUUAGGCUUUUUCUUAUUGGGCUUCUUUUUGGGCCUUACCCUAUUUACAGCCACUUUAGUAUUUUUUUCAAAUUUUUUUGUAUCAUUAUAAUUUGGGCCCUGGCCUUUUAGUGCCCAAAUACAUUUCGUCCAGUUUUAGUUUUGGGAUUUUGAAUUUUAGUUUUGUGUGUAGGUCCCACUUGUCAUGUUCUUCUCAUAAUUUGUCCCAUAUGUCAAGAAGUUUUGGUCAGGUUUUCAUUUCAGACAUUCUCAAAUCGCAUACGAUACGAAUAUUUCAAAUAGAGUAGAAAGGACAUGUGAAAUUCAUCAAAUUAACACGAAGGUAGUAUAUUACAAUUUUUCCAGUCUAUUACAAAGCAGAUAUGUCUAUUAUUACAAUAUAUAAUAUGCAAUAUUACAAUAUAUAAUAUGCAUUCUUGGAUAAGUAGAGCUUCACACAAUUGGCUUCAAGGCUUCGCACUUCAACUUUCUUAGGCCUGGAGGUCCUGUAGAAGAAACAACCAUAUUUGUAAGAGCUACAAGAUACAGAUCAAGAAUAGAAACAAGGCACAAAGACAAGCAAUCCUUGGCGGAAACCUUGAGGCGACAAAUGUUUCUGAACUCAAAUGAGAGAAGUUUGAGUCUAGCCAAUUAAACCAACUACCACUGAUGUAACCUAUAAAGAUGGACUGAACAAUAACAAUACAAAAAAUGACAGCUGAAUUAUGAAGAGUCCUAAAAUUGACCCCUUUUGGCCUUAAUUAAUUGUGUGAAGCUGAAAUGAUUAAUCUAAAGUAAGAUAUACCGGUAUGUAGGCAAGAAAUGUAGUUGAAUGACCCAUAUUUGAAUAACUCAAAAAAGAAGGCAGCAUCAAAUACUAUAGUAAUUAUUAUUGGACAUGAUAUAGUAAGGUACUCUCACUGGGUAAGGUACUCUGCAGUACACGUACGUCGUACCAAAGUAUGCGUCGAGACAGUAAGCAGACACUAUUAGAUAGUCUUGUACGCACAUUUUUCCACAUGUAUUUAUAAUAAUUAUUUUUUAGUAAUAUAUGUUGCCAAUGCUAUGUAUCACUAAUUCAGUCCAGCUAAACCGACAAAUGCUACGGGCAGAAGUCCCAUCAGCAUGACAAAUACCCCCCUAAGUCUGAACAACUAGUCCUCGCUUGCGACUACCCAGAUGAUACAAUAAAACCCAUGCGAUUUAGUAUGAUAACAAAGUGCUGGUUUGGCCGCCAACUCAAAACAGCAAUUAAUUUGUACACUCUGUGACACGCAAGUGAAAGGCCACUAACAGAUGCUCUAUCUAACAGUACCUCGGUGAUGACACACUCUGGAGCCAAGUUCCUGAAAUGCACAAACAAUAGUGUAUGGAAAUCUGAGUUCAAAUGCUACAGGAGUAACCAGUUUUUUCAAUGUGUAAAUCAUGUGUUGAACAAAGCAGAAUAAUCAUAAACAAACAGAACUACUUCAGAUCCCAUUGCAAUGUCUAACAAGUAGAUUAGAAGUAUCUCUGCUACUGUACUAACCUCAAAUGAGAGGCCAACCUAUUGCUUUAAGUUAAGCCAAAUGUGAGCUAGUAGUGAGUGCCAAGUGCCAUCCAGAUUGGAAACUACUGUAAUGACAUUCAUCUACAAUGGAAACUGAUACAUUUUGGCAUCAAGAUUUCUUCUUGCCAAAAUAUGACAACAAGCACUGCCAAGACAUGAUCCCCACAUUUUUCACUCGCAGCAAAAGUGCAAAGCAUGAUAUCACACCAAAUAGACAAAUCAAGAAAUGCCUCCUAUCAAGUGCAAAGCAUGCUAUCACACCAGAAAGAUUUGGCAACAAAUCACAAGAGAGCGAGCGAGCAGUAAGAUCAUACCCGUUCCUUCCUAUGCAUCGCCUCUCCCGCGCGCAACAAGUUGAACUGCGCAAGAGGAAACGAAGAAACGCUCAGGAACGCACUCCAGGCCAGACGAGUUGGGCGCCUCCCUCAUCUCCGCCACCGCGGGUCCGGCUCCAUUGGAGGGGGCGUAGGAGCGCUCAUGGGCCGGUUCUUGGUCGCGGCCGUCCUCGCCCGGUUCUGCUGCUCCUGAACCGGACGGUUCCAUCACGAAUCUGCUAGCAGCAAGUAACAAAAUAACUCAGUUCAGAUCAUAGCAAGAAACUUAACUCAGUUCAGAUCAUACUUAUCGGAAAACAGUAGCAGAUUGGCUAUCAGAAGAAUUCAGAAGUUCAGUACAGAAUACAUUACUGAAGCUUAACUCAAUUCUUAACAGAGAUAAUAAAGAUGCAUCACAAGAAACUGCUUAAGCUUGCAUGCCAUGAUUAAGAAAACAUAUGCAGCAACAGCUAUAAGAACAGAAUCCAACAACGAAUGACUGAAGUCUGAAAGGAUCCUUAUUAUUUAGAACAAGAUUACAACAGCACAUAGCAUCUGAGAACGAAAUGUGGCUUACAGUAACAAGUAGCACGGCAAGCUUUCUCAAGAGAUCACAAGCAUAUAACGGCAAAAAGGGCUAGAUUCCAAAAAUAAAUUUCUAAACGCAGGACAAAAUAUUGCACAACAAAAUCUCUAUCAGAAAAAUUUCUACAUGGAGAUGGACUGAGUAAUGCUUAUAGAGGUAGCAACUACCAAGGAACCCCCAACAUUUUUAGCAAUAAUCAAGAAAUCCAGAUGUUCAGUUCAGACUUCAGACAAUCAAGAAAAAUAAUUCAAGCAACAUAAUACAGCAAUCCAGAUGGCUUGGGGCCGGAGUGCCAGUCAAUAAUUAUUGCAUCAGAGAUAAGACCAGCCUCGAGCUCUCACCGCAAUUCUGCAUGUAGAACUGGCAAUCCUGUUCUGUUGAUAAGUUCACUUCAGAUUUCAGACAGUUAAUUUGUCUGAAAGAAUCUCCCUGUUGUCUGCUCUGUUGUUGUUUGUAGGAGAGGAACCGAACCAAUGGAGGGUGACAGACCUGGGUGACGGGGUUGUCUUCGGGCCCUCUGGACUGGAAGCCGGAGAAGAGCCCCCCGAGCCUGCUCCCGAUCACCACCACAUCCUACCUGUACCUCGCCAGGAGCCCCGCACAUCAGAGCCCCCCGAGCCCGCUCCUGAUCACCACCACGUCCGCCUCCGGCCUCUCCGCCACCCUGAACGAAACGUAAAGACGACGACGAUGAUUAACGAUGUGUCCUUGCUCUUGCUUGACUUGGUAGGGCGCCAUUUGUUCUUGCCAUGUACGUAAAUCAAAGCUGCUGCUGUCCAGGUAACUUGCGAACUGCUCGUCCACUACGGCCAAAAAAUAAUACUAAUCGUGAACAAGAACAUCAGAUGCAAAUCACUCUUACAGUCCAUAUUUUUGGUUUUUUACCUCAAGCCAAAAGUGGUGUAAUAAUCUCAUGAUUGUUCUAAUGUUGUUUUUAACAUCAUAUACUCCUUCAUGUCAGUUGGUUAUCCUCACAACUAGUGUGAUCCAUUUUACCCGUGAUGUUAGGCAACUACUGUGCUAGAUUGUGAUGGUGUAAUUUUUGGGAAAUUUACCAUGGUGUUAUCUGGCCCAAGGAUUUUUGCACAAGGAGAGCAGUUACCGGUUAACCAAAAAUGUUUCUACUUGGUACUGUGUCAAAUAAUGUACUACAGAAUAAUCAACAGGCUGGAUAUCUGUAAUCUACUUGGUGGCAACAGUAAAACCAAGAUUCCCCCGUUGACCAAUUUAUGCAUGGUAGAAUACUAACACACCAUGUGAAGCGAUUCUUGCAGCUUCAUGAUGCAUUGGAAUUGCAUCAAUUGGUGUUUCUAAGCAAAUUAACAUAAGAAAGAACCAAGAAACGAGCUCCUGGAUGUAUAAGAAAACAGAGGACAAGCAAAAGCAUGUUGCUGUUCAGCAAAGAGCAUAAAUGCAAGUGAAGAGCAAACAUCUUUCAAACACUCGCAAAUAAAGUAAGAAGUACAAAUCGUAUUUUCGUGUGAAACCAGCCUAAAGACUGAUUAGCUAUUCAGAAAGGGUCAUAAGGCAGGACACCCGGGUGCAUAAUUUAUAUAUUUUUUGAUUAUAAGUUGCAUUUGUGUGAAGACUAUUAUAUGCCGCAACUCUGAAUUAGGGAAACCAUCCUAUGCUUACCAUGAAUUCAAAGUUUUGCUCCAAAUCUGCCCCCCUUGACACACAGAUUCAGAGUAUUUGAAGAAUAACAGAAACAACUGAAUGUCCCAAGGCAUGGCGUAAGUGCACAUAAAUCAGUAACAAAGACAAUAGGUCUGCCACCAAAGCGGAAAUGAACUUUGCAUUUGCAGAGUAAUCAGCGGGUGACAGGACGGAAAUAAAUCAAGAAACCAUCCUGCAGGUGACAGCGGGUGAGUAAUCAGCGGGUGAUAGGACGGAAAUGAACUUUGCAUUUGGAGAGUAAUCAGCGGGUGACAGCGGGUGACACGCCAGCAUCUUCAGGCUGAUGAGCAAAUCCUGCAGGAAACCAUCGAAGGUUGAAAAAUCUGUGGUCGGAAGGACAGAUUACGAGGGAAGUGGAGGACGAACGAGCUCGGGUUCACAGAGGGCCGCGAGUCACCGCGACUCCUCGGCGCUGGUGCUGCUCUCCAUGGCUCCCUGGACGAGGUUUUGCCGGUGGCUGCGGAUGGCGACAUGAGGAGGAAGAGGGGGUUCGCUUCGCUUGUUUUGUGUCUUUGGUUCGCGUCGCCUGCCCGACGAUGUCGCUCGGCUCGCACACCAGGUCGGGCUUCUCCCCCAACAUGGAGAGCGUCACGGAGGUCACCCGAUGCCUACCUCCCCUCCCUUCUCCACCGCUGCCGCUGCCGCAGGCCCGCGUCCACCGAGCAGAGAAGAGCAGCGCUUGCAUAUCAGCUCUUCUCAGUGCGCGAUUUGACUCCGCAACCGCCUUUGGGAAGGGACGGAGGGAAGCCGGUGAGAGAUUGGCGAGCCCGAUCUCUUUUCGCCGGCCGGUGUUAGAACUGGAAGCGAUCUGUCGCGUUGAGCUAGGCCUUGACCGCGUUGUCCGCCAUGGCGAG